rnacentral:lncRNA from 1 species
AGCAUUUCAAUAUCAAAAGCAAAGGAUACUAUCAAACCCUGCAAAUAAAAUAAAAAGGAUCACAAAAUAAAACACAAAACCCAAUAAAUAAACCCUUUCUUCCUUACUCUCUUUUUGCUAAUUAAUUAGCAUAUACGUGUGGUUUCAUGGCUCGAACUCUUCUUCGAACUCCUCUUGAUUCUGAUUAUAUUUUCCCAUGUUAUUGUAACGGUUCUCGUUGAACUCGUUCCUCGAACCGACUCCCCUCGAGUUCUCGAACCGGUUCGGGUAGUAGUUGUUCUCAGAACUCACAUCAUGGUAGUACUUCCCAUUCUCCAAGAACCUAGUAUCACUCAUACCUUGCUUCUCAACAUUGUUGUACUCAUUGUUACCAUUGUAAUAGUUGUUGUUGUUCUGGUUUUCCUUAGUACUCCAUCCUUUCUCAGUGAACAUGGCCUCAUUGUUACCGUUGUAAUAGUUGUUGCGAUUCUGGUUUUCCUUAGUACUCCACCCUUUCUCAGUGAACAAGGCCUCAUUGUUACCAUUGUAAUAGUUGUUGCUAUUCUGGUUUUCCUUGGUACUCCACCCUUUCUCAGUGAACAAGGCCUCAUUGUUACCAUUGUAAUAGUUGACAUUGUAGUUGUUGGUUUCUUUGGUGGCCCAUCCUUUCUCAUUGAACUUGGCUUCACUUUGCUGCUCAGCGUUCCCGUAGGCAUUUGUCUUGCUAUAAAAGUAAGAGUCUUUGUUGUUGGUUUUGGACGCUGGGAUGCUAUUGUAGGGUUCAUCAGGGUGGUAUUUAACAGGUGUGACAUAGGGUUCAUAGGUUUCUUUGGUACUGGUGGUGCUAGGAGGGAGCUGACCAGACUCAUGACCGUAAAGCCCAUAGCUUUGGGUCUCGGGGAUAAACCUUGGCUCUUGCUCCUUCUUCCCCAAAGUGGUUUGUUCUUCUUUGUUGGUCACCUCUUUCUCAUUUGUGUUAACGCUUGGGAUUUUGCUAAAGAAAUCCCUACCAUGUAUUUCAACGGAGAAGAGGGCUAAAAGGAAGAAGUAAGAGAUGAGUUUUGGUGAAGAAGCCAUCGGCAAAAAAAAAGAAAAAAAAGGGAAAGCAAAGAUUUUGUAGGUAAUGUAAGAGACUACACACUAACGAGGAAUCCGUGAUGAUGCAAAGUGCUUAUAUAGGAAGAGUAGAAGAGCAAUGAUUUUGUUUUCACUCUAAAUUGUUAAAAUUUUCUACUCAAUUAACGGAGGGGGUGAAGAUGGUUAUGAUUGUAGGGACUUGGAUGAGAGAGAAAUUAAAAAAAAAAAGAAAGAAAAGAAAACCUUUAUCAAAAGAGGCCCCUUUACUUUGUGUUUGUUGUUAAUCAACCAUGUUUCAUUUAUUUCAUUUUCAAUAUCAUGAUAUUCUAUUAUAAAAAAAUAUUGACAUAAAAGGAAAAUGAGAGAAAAUUAAAAUAUAAAAUUCUUUUGUGCAUAUAAAAAACAAUCAUGGCAUAAAAAAGUUUAUGUUAAUUAAUUAUAUUUUAAAAGUGAUUUUUAUAAAAUAAAUCUACUAGGAUUGUUUAUAAUUUCUAUUUCCCCACAGUGGGAAACAAGUGAAAUGUGUAAGCUUUAUUUGUUUUUUGGUCACAUAAGAUUCCCUCCUGACAGUCCACUUAAUUCUUUACCAAUCCUAUUAAUUAAAAUCACUACUACUAAGUGACCCUAUUAUUUGUGUAUCAAACUAUUGAUUGUUUCGUAUCUUCUAAGCAAAACCCAAACUCAUUUUAUUUCAAUAUUAUAAUAAAAGUCAUUAAUUGUAUCUUAGCUCGAUUGACAUGAGCGUUGUCGAUGUAAAAAGACAUGAAUUUGAGUGUGUUAAAGCACAUUAUCUUCCCAUUUAUGGGUUGGGGAGGGGUUAUGAGUAAUUCUAAACAUUGUAUUAAAAAGAACAGAUAUAAUUAGAACCUGUAAAUUUAUUAUUUCAUUUUUCAUCUCUUAAAAAAACAAUAAAAGGAAAAAAAAAGAUAAUGGAGUUUAAGAGAUUUGAAGAAAAAAUGUGUGGAAGUUCUAAAAACAGAAUAUUCAUCUCACAAUAAUUAAUAUCAUUGAAAACUAGUGUAUCGUUUUUUGUAUUGGUAUUGGUAUGUAUUAAUAUCGAUGCGAGUAGUAAACAAGUUGGAUCGAAUUAAUGUAAUUAAAACUAUAGUUGGCAAAGGUGGAGACUUUGAGUCUUAAGCCAAGUUCAAAAUUUACCAUGCGCAAUUGUAUUUGUAGGUUUUUUUAGUUUUGAUACUUAUGGUUAUUUAGACUUAUGUCUGUAACUAUACUGUACUUGUUACAUUUCAAAGGAAAAAAAAUUAUUAUUAUUUUUAAGUUAAAAUUUAAUUUUUAAAAUGUUUAAGAAAUAAAUAAAAUAAAAUUUAGGUAUCAUAAUUUUGUACAAACUAGUAUUGGUCAAAACUCUUGGAACAAUUGGUACACACCAAAAUCUUGAUCGGAAUGGAACCUAUAUUACUUAGUACUUGUUAAGGGCUGAAACAAUAUCGACUAAAAUAGAUUGAAUUCCAUUUCGAAUAAACCUAUUUACGUGUUGGGUGGCUCUUUCGAUUUAGUGAAAUUUAAUCUAAUUCAAAUCAAACUUAAACAAGAAUUUCAUUCGAUUGGUUGAACUUGAAUUUAAAUUAAAUAACCUAAAAAUAUUUAUUUAAAUUCAAUUACAAAAAAUAAUAUUGAUAUAAAAUUUUAUUUUUUUUAUUUUUUUAAUAUUAAAAUUGAUUAUUUAAGCGAUCAGAUCAAACUCAAGAAAAUAAGAAUUAUAUAACUCAAUUAAAAUUGAUCCAUGAACACUUUUAAUUUCGGAGCAUUAUUUUUAACCUAAACCCUCUUAUAUCUGGUAACUAUAUCAAAUCUUAAAAAGCUUAGAAAACAUUAUAACGGUGGGAUUAGGGGGGAAUAGAGGGCAUCGUGGGCUGUGGAAAUUUAGAGAUGAAAGGGAGCGGCGGAUGAUAAUGCGAGGAUUAAGGGGGAAGUGGUGGGACAUUAAACUAUGUCGUUUAGCGGCUGUCUCCAUGUGCUAUUUUUCUAAACCGUAGGUUGAUUUUUUUUAAUAUAAAAAAUUAAUAAUUGAAUUUACGUAUAAUUUUAUAUGCCUUAUUAUUUUUAUAAGUUUUUAUUAAAUCUGUUCUUUUUGACAUAAUGUCUAGAAUAAGUAUAGCUCCUCCUCAACUCAUAAAUAGGAGGAUAAUAGGCUUCAGCGCACUCGAACUUACGUCCUCUUACAUUGACAACAAUAUCCAUACCAAAAUAUAUUUUUAAAGGAGUGGUUAAGAAUUGUAAUUGAUAAUAAAUUUUAAAGAUUUUAAAAAGUAUAAUUUUAUUAAAUAAGAAAAAUCAAAUAUAAUAUAAAGAAUUAAAACAAAAUUACACUUUAUUAAUUAAACACCUCUAAUAAAUUAAAAUUAAAAAAAAUCAUAAUUACGAUUUAUUAAUUAUGCAUAUUUUAAGAAUGGUAUAAUGUAUUUACCCUAAUAAGGUGCUUCAAAUGCAAAUUACUUCCAUAGCUAGCAAGGAAAAAACAAACAAACAUUCUUUAAUUGUAAUUGAAUAUUGGAUACCAAAUCUUUUUAAAUAACCUUUAGACAAAUAUAUAAAAUUUCACGAAAAUUGACGGGAUUUUAAAAAAAUAAUUAAUUGAGUCUCAGUUUGAUUGAUAUGUAUAUUGUUAUCAAUUCAGGAGAAUGUAAACUUAAAUACGCUGAAGUACAUUGAAGGAUUUAGAAAGAAACUAUAAGUAAUUCUAGAUAUUACAUAAAAGAAAAACAGAUAUAAUCGAAACUUAUUUGCUUUCAUAAUUAUUCUUACUCACCUUUAUGACUCAUGCGAUGAAAAUUCAAGCACCAAUGUCUAAAGCAACAUAAAUAUAUACGAAAAAAAAAUGAAUGUUAGACUUUUUGUUUUGAUAACCAAAUAACAUGAAAGUGCGACUUAAAGUCUAAUCUAGGGUUAAUCUUGAUUAACACAAAAUUGAAUAUUUUUUACAUUAACAAUUUUCUAUUUAUGGGUUUUUGAUUAUUCUUAGCUGAGAGUGUUUCAUUCCCAAGAAAAUAAAAAGUUUUGGACAUAUAAAAAAGUAUAAGGACUUAAAAUAUAAAUUAAUCGACAUAUUAACAAAUAAAUGGGAUGCAAAAUAAUCUUUAAAAUUGAAGAAAAGUACAUUGUAUUUUUUUUGAUGUUUUCUAGGUCAGUUUUAUUAUCUAUUUUCGGGGUUUCGUGAAGAGAUGUAACAUCGUUUUUAAUGUUCAAACUCACGAUUUUUUUUCGUUAAGAAAAUAAUUGUAAAUUCUUAUUCUUAUUUUAUUUUACUUUUGGUUUCUUGUUGCAUCCCAUUGAUUUAAGUGAAGUUUUAGUUGCGUGAUCAGCGGCAGAGGACAUUUCAGCCAAUGCAAAGCAUGUAUCCAUAAGAGCUGGCAAUCAAACUCCUCCCACCUCUUAACCUAAUUUUGAAAAACAAUGUUUGCACAGAUUAAUAAGACAUGUAUUUUAACAGAAAAAGAAAAGCAGAUUUUUAACUCGAUUGAUAUGGGUAUUGUUGUCAAUACAAUAGGGCGUGGGUUUAACUGCACUGAAACGCACUAUCCUCUUAUUUAUGGUCGGAAGAUGCUAUGAAUAGUUCUAGGCAUUAUAUCAAAAAGAACAAAUACAAUCAAAACCCAUAAUUAGAUUGUUCGAAAAAGAAGAAAAAAAGCGUUAUCGCUAACUUCAAUUUAUGUGAAUCAGAUUGAUUUUGAAUUUACUUAAAUUUGAUUUUAAAUAUUUUUGAAUUAUUUUAAGUUUGGAUUAGUUUAGGUAUGAAUUGUUUCGAGUUUAAGUCAUGUUUUUCAAUUCUCAUAUUACUCUUUCGUAUCAUUUUAAGUUGGAUAUUUUAGUUUUAAAUUGACUAAAUUCAAAUUUUCGGCUUUUUAUAAUUAAAUUAUAUGAUAUUGAAUUUGGAUUCAAAUUAAUUGAAUCUAAGUGAACAAUACCCCAAAGUGUAGUAAAACGCAAGCUGGUACAUGAACAUGAUGAAUAAAGUCAAAGCAAUUGGUCCCUAAAAAUGAGGAAAAAGUCUAAGGUAGCUGCCUGGAAAAUUCAACUAAACUGAAUUCACAAAAGUAGAGUUUCUGUUAAUGUGGUUGGGGUUUGGUAGGCUUAUAUUUCAAGGAAAUUUGAUGGGUAAAGUAGUUGUACAUCGAAUAAAUUCAAAGUUAUUAGUUGGGUUCAGUAAUUCCCUACCAACAUUUAAAAUAAGAGUUGGUAUUGUAGUAAUAAAUAAGUGGGUGAUGGACAUAUCAACUGAUUGGUUAUAUCAUUUUGAGCAGGAUGAAUUUCGAUUUAGUUAGAUUAUUUUAAAUUCAAGUUGUUUCAAAUUUUCAUCGUUUAGAUUGAGAUUUGUUUUUUAGUAUUCUUCAUGUUCAUUUUAAGGUUUAUGUUCAGGGUUUGUGACUAUUCCUUCCAACAAUGUCGUCUUCAAGCUUCGAUUUAGGUGGUUUUGUCACUUUAGAUGGGUCAUUUUAAGUUAUUUGUUUGAAUUAUUUUGAGUUCAAAAUGUUUUAAAUAUGAUUCAUUUCAGAAUUGAAUUUUUUAAAUCGAUUUAAUUUUAAACCAUUUUAAUUUUAAAAUAAAUUAAUUCAAAUUCAAAUUGAUUGAUUAAACCUACUCAUGGCAUUGAUAAGGUGUGGGCUAGGCAAAGGUCAAGGUGCUAGAAUGAAAUUUUAGAUUUCAUGUGGUAAAAGAAUCACCAAGGGACCAAAUAAACAAACCACUUAUGAUCUUAGUAGUAUUAUGGAUGGUUUUAUAGAAUUAGAUUGCACUCUGUUCUAUUUAUUUAAAAAUGAAUAAAAUAAUUUUAUAUUUAAAUUAAAGAAGAAGUAGAUCAUUUCCCGACAUGAUUGAUAGAAUAACUAAAUUGUUACACAUGAUAUGUCACUUGUAUCUCAUUUUAACAUAUAGAGACUAGUUUUCAAUAGUAGAAAUGAAUAAAAUUUUUAAUAAAAUAAUCAAUUUAUUCUUUGAUCUAAUGUCUAAAAAAUUAUUUACCCAUUUUUUUAUUAGAACGAACAAAAUACAAUUUGACUCCUAAUACCUAAUUCAAUUAAUAAACAUCCCUUUACCCCACCAUUUAGAGGUGAUCAUGGGUUGGGCCGGGUUCGGGCCAGGCCCAGACAAAAAAUUAGGCCUGUCUACUAGGCCCGAGCCCGGCCCGAAAUAAAAUUACUAAGCCCGAGCCCGGCUCGGCCCAACCCAUAUUAAUUUUUUUUUUGCUUAUUUCAUUAAAUAAAAAAAUUUAAAAAUAUAAUAAAUCAAAUAUAUUUAAAAACAUAAAAACAAAUAUUAAAACAAAUAAAAAUGAUACUAAAACAAUUCUUAAAACAAUACACAAAUUGACAAUAUAAUAAAAAAUAGUUAUAUUAAAAAUUUAAAAUGAUUAAAAAUAAAAUAAAAAAUAUAUUAAUAUAUAAUUCGGGCUGGGUCAGGCCAGGCCCAGGCAAAAAAACUCUUACCCCAGGCUCGGCCCGUUUUCUAAACGGGCCUCGUUUUUUUUUGCCCAAGCCCAUUUUUCGGGCCUAUAUUUUUACCCAAACCCUCCCAUUUUUCGGGCGGGCCUUCGGGCCGGGCUGAGCCAGGCUACCCGGCCCAUGAUCAACUCUACCACCAUUCCUCUUUGCCAUCAAUCCAAUUUUAUAUAUUUCAUUUCAAAUUUGAUUUUAUUUAAAAUUGUAAUAUUCAAACUCGAUAAAAAAAAUCUCCAACUCGUAUCUAAUCCGCCCCGCUCCACCUUGAUAUAAUAAACAAAUUCUUUUAUAAAGCCUUAUAGAAAUUCAAAAAAUUCUAAUUAAAAAAAUAAAAACAGUUAUAAAAUUUAAAAAAAAAUACAUUUUUGGAUAUAUUAUUUGAGGGAAGACUGUUUAAGUUUGAUCUAAACCGACCCAAAAAUUUUGAACAAUAUUAUCAUAAAUUCUGAUCAUAUCUAUUCUUUUUAUCAUAAUGCCUAAAAUUACCCAUAGCCUUAACCUAUAAAAUAUGCUUUUACGAGAUAUGAUUUGAUUUUUUUGGGUGAUUGAUAGUUAGGGGCAGUUGGACCUCUAGGAAAUCUCUGAAACCCUUUUUGAGUAAAAAGAGAGACUUCCCACUUGAGCUGAAGAAGAGGGACUUCUGCUGAGUGUAGCAAAAUUUUUAAUUUUUACUAACUUAUAUCAAUACCAACAUUUCUAACAAAAAUCAUUAGAAAAAUUGGUAAAAGUUAGAUAUAUGUGUGUGCUUCAAGCACAUGGGAGAAUUUACCUGAAGAAGGGAGAAGGCAAGUUGUCCAAAGUAAAGGUUAAAAGAACAAAAAGGAUAAUGGUAACAAUUAUGAGAAUAUGAAUGCUGAAAUGAGUUCAUCUUUUUUACCCUAACUAAAUAUUUGUGCAUUAUUCCGUAUGAAUCAUUAUUACUUUGCAGUAAAGCUCUAAUUGUGGUGAUAAAAGCAUAAAAAGUAAAAUCAAAAUGUAGCAGCUAGCAAGCCUGAUGGUAACUAUUUCAAUUUUCGAGCGUGAAAAACUCUCAGGCUGCAAAUUUCAAAAGUACAUAUCAUAUUGUAUUAAUCUGGACACUGGAAUAAACUCGUGUCGUUGGUUACUGCUGAUGUGAUGAUUAUACGCAGAUUGUCCCUGUGUGUGGUGUGUGCGUGUCCCAACUCAUCUUUCACCUUUUAGCUGUGCGGAAUCAGAUUCUAUAUUCUAGAUGACAGAAGAGAAUAUAAACUGCAAUGGAAGAGAUUUCUUGACCUAGCUGAACUGUGAUGACAGCACCAUCCAAGCACCCAGUACAGGGAAGGUAAUCAAUGCCGAAGCCUGAAAUACAACCAAAAUGAAUUAUAUCAGUAAUUCAAGUAAAAUUUCAGGAACAGAAGAAGGCAGUAGAUACACGAGAACAUACCAGAAAGAAUACAAAUUCAUCAUUGACAAAGGCUGCAGUAAAUUCAUUUCUUCGCAUUUCUUGUUUGAUGAAACCUUGCAACUGUCAACAAACGGGUAAGAAACAAGAUAUUUGUUUAUUUCAAAGGCAAAGGUUCCCAGUGAAGGGAUACAUAUGUAUCUUUGUUCUUAGGCACUAUUGAUGCACAUUAACUAGUAAACUGGAACUUGGUUAUAUUGUUUCCCCUUAAACCAUUAACAUUAUUGCAACAAGACAAUUGAUGAAAUACAAAUUGCUGGUAAAUCUAAAUCCUUAAUUCGUAUAGCAAAUCAAAUUCUGCACUUUGGAGGAAAAAUGAAUUGUUAUCACUUAAGGACCAAAAAGUAUUAGAAUGCAGAAUUCAUGUUUGCAAAUGUUGCACAAAGAUGAUUGACAGAGGAUUCAAGUUAGAAGUGCAAGAUAAUUCUUGAACCUGUGUAACAUAAACAAAUUAAUCUCAGUGUGUUGAAAAAUAAUGCCCGCAUAAAGCUGAAACCAUUCUGGGCGACAUUCGCAUGGGACUCUAAGAUAGAGCCAAAGAAGGUUCACAAUCUAACUCAUCAAGACACUAAUCAUACUCUCUAUAAUUCAGGGGAAAAGAAUCUUUUUGGCUGAUAGAACUAUGAUUCUAUGAUUACUGACAAUCUUGUUUACGAAACUAAGCAACCUAGUUGGAAGAGGCCACAGGUUUCCAGAUUCAUGGUGAUUAAGCAUAAAACUGAUUUAGUAGAAAGAGAUCAUGCCUAGGAGUUUACACAGAGCCAAAGGAAAUGGUCAACUUAUCCACUGAGCAUUUUCUAUUGUUGGAAACUUUCACAAAGUAUACUUUUAUGUAGUUUUGACAUGUGAAGAUCUCCAAGGGUAACCUGAUUCGUUUUGAGGUACAUUAAUCCUAGAAAAUCGCAUUGCAAUGCUAAACAUACCUGAUGGUGAUACUUUUUAAUUGCUGAGUAAAAUCUUCUUAAUUGUUGCAGAGCUUGAGACAUGUAGUACUUAAUGGUAGAUCCUUUUCCGAAUGAAUAAUAUUCCAAUACACCAAGCAUCUUUGGAAGAUGUCUUUCAGAAAGGUCAUUAAAGAACUAUAUUUGCAGAAAAGAUUUGAUUUGACUUGAUUAAGACUUGAAUGAAAGAUAAGCAUUUGGCAAAAUAUCAUUACUUUUACAAAAAUUUCAAAUGGACUGAGAGAGAUGUAAUAAUAAUAAUAAUAAUAAUAAUAAAAGGUCUGAAAGACUAUGUCAGCUUAUUAUAUUACCCUCAAGAAUGAGCAUCUCAUGUACCUUUGCUUUUGAUCUUGCAAUGCCCUCCUCUGUAUGACAAAAAGCAAUUAUGCUAAUUAACAAAUUGAUUUUAAUGGCAGAAUGUUUACUUUUUUCUUUUAAACUUCCUUAUGAAUUGACGAAUAACUGAUAUUAAUAGGGUCCAUCGAAGGCAAUACUUGUGCAAGUUGAAGCGCCUGCUCAAGAUGUUGAAUUUGAAUCCAUUGUUCUGUAACAACUUCUGCCAUCUGAAAACAAGGGAAUGAAACUUUAAGAGAGAAAAGUACAACUGUUUCAACAUCAGCAAUAGAGAAAACAAAAUCAAAACGGAAUAAUUUUUUUCAAGUUUUCGACACAACACAAUCAAGGAAAGGCCAAAUUAACCAAGAUUGAGUUCUGAGAACAAUGGUCAUUUCGAUUAACAAAUUAAAAAGAAUAUCCUGGUGAAAAAACUUCCUUUAUUCUUUUUCUUUUCAUGGUUUAACAUCUUAGCAGCAACCAGAAACUGAAGUCUGAAUGAACCCCCUUCCCCAAAAACGAUACAUAAAUCUAGAAAUUAGAAGAAAAAUAAGAUGGUCUUUAAAGCAUUUUUGCUGUUCUUGAUGAAAAUUCUUUAAGUUGAUAAAGGUCAUAAUAAUACAUAGAAAUGCUUAGUCAUUCAACAUUCACUAGCAGAGUCUCUACACAGAAAUAAAAUUAAUGCAUGCACAAUGCUGACCUUUUCAACUUUUAAAUUAACAGCUUCCACCCUAUCUUCAGUGUCCUGUGCUUCUGAUUCCAAAACAUGAAGUUCAAAGUUGUUCUUUCUCGAAGCAUCCCAAAGCAAACGUACCUAGGAGAACGAGGCCUACUACUCAAGUCAGAUGAAUAUUGCAAAUAAAGCAAGCAUUACAGGCAAGGAAUCCAAUAGUAGAAAAAAAUGGAAUUAGGGAUUAUAUUUAUAUUAAACCAUUUAAAACGAACCUCCUCUUCUAGAGCCUUAAGCUUUUCAUCAGCAAGUAAUGAAUCAUCCUGCAAUUAACAUAAUAUAGAAAUUAAAAUUCAUAGCCGAUUAAACCCUAAUUUAGUACACUGUACUCUUCAAUCUACACUUCUUUAGGGAAAGACAUUCAAUAACCGAAAAUAAUUGAAAACAUAAUAAUAAAAAAGCAAAGCUUCUUGGCUAAGAAUUGAACCUCAAGAGUGGAUAUAACAGACUGCAGAUAAGUGAUCUUGUUUUCCAUGUCUUCGAGAAGCUUCUCGCGUUCCUUGAGAAGAAGGGUUUUAGCAUCAAUGCUUUGAAUUGUUUCUUCGAGAACAGAUUCUACAAUCAUAUUUACAAAGCAUCAAAGAAUUGAAGAUUUCGAUUAGUAAUUUGUUUCUAAUGAAGCGUCUAUCGUUAAAAAGAAAUUGAGAGGGAAAAUUACCCAAACGAGAGAGCUUUAGCUUGGCGUCAUCCAAUUCACGGAUCAAGAGGUUGUGGUCGUUGUUAUUUAGUUGAUCUUGCGACGUGAGAGAGAUGAGGAAGACGAAGAAGAAGAAACCAGUGAAAAUGGCGGGAAAGAGAGGAGCCGCCAUUGCUGCUUCUUGAAGUUGCUAAUACGAUCUUUUCUUAAAGAAGCUUUUUGUUGCUAAGAGAAAGAUGCAGUAAUGGUGGACUUUGGAAGGACAGAUUUGCUUUCCCAUUAUAGUUUUAUUUCUAUUUUGAUAUAUAAGGUUAGUUUACCAUUGUAAUUUAAAAAAAAAAGUGUUUAUUUGAUAUUGUAAUUUAAAAAAAUAUUUUUGAAAGGAUAAAAUAUUCAUUUUAGAUAUUAUUUAACUUAAUUUUAGCGAGUGAGUUAUUGAUUACGGAGGAGAAGUAGAAUUUUAUAAAAUGAAAGAAAAAAGUUAAUAAGAGUCAAAAUUAAACUUUCGGAAUAUCUUUUAAAGCUUAAGUUACUAUUAAUAUAACGGGACUAGAACUUCAGUUUGGCAAAUUGAACAGAUUUAGUUAUUUUUAAGGAAAGUAAAUCGACGAUCAAGAUUAAAACUUCUCUACUAUUGAAGUAUUUAAUCUAUAUAUAAUCUUUUAUCACUUUAAGAUAUAUACUAUUUACCCUAAUAAUUUUAGUUUUAUUGAAAUGUUUCACUGAGCCACAAAGGCUUUAAGUAUACGAGUUCCUUCAUGGUUCCACGAAUUGGGACAGUUCAUAUGGGUCAAAUGAACCCAAUUUAAUAAGUUGACUUCUAUGCGACAUUUUGAGCACAAUAAUCAGAUGUUUUGAUAUGAAAUAGAAAAUUAGAGUUGGACUAAUUUACCUGUGUACCUAUUGAAUCUCAUGCCUAGGCUUUUGCUCUACUCGAAUCUAACGUUUUGUUGCUUGGCUUUUCUUUUCUUUAAAGUGAUUAAAUUCUUUACACAUUUUGUGCUUCUUUGGUGGAACUACAAGGAGAGAUUAUAAAAGUUUCCUUUCCUCAGAAAGCAUCGAUGCUUUUGCAAGGUACAGAGCAUAAGCAUUCUUCUGGAGUCCCUUUGAAGGCUGGAUGGGGUGCUCGUUGCGCAUUUGAGCUAUCUUCCAUUAAUGGGCUAAGUUUGUUUGAUGAGCUUUUAUGCUUAAGCUUGUGUUUUGUUAGGCUGAAUUUGAGCCCAGAUUAUUGGAUAUCAACAAUAGUUCUCAGGUUUCAAAAUACCUUCCGCAAUAUCAGCAAUAACUGCUGUAAUAGGACUUGGCUCCACGGUGUGCUUCCUCUAGACUUGACUAUCAUUUCAGGACUGUCCCCUGAGGUCCGCCAGCAAAAUAAGCACAUGCUUUCAUUUUAGCUGCUGUUGUUGUUGUUGCUAAUGAUGCGUGUUACAAGGUUUUGAAAUUUGGCAGAUAGAAUUUUUUUUGUGAUCAAAUUAUUGAUUAAUCAAUAAAAAAUGUUUUUAAUAUAUUUCAAAUUCUAAUAUAAAUUUUGGGAUCAUAUCAUAGCUUGGACACUUCUAAAUCAAGAAUAUGUAGCCUUAAAAACAAGUUCUCUACAUGAUGAAAUCACAAAUACUAUUCACAUGAUAUCUUUUAUUUUGGGCACAUAUUCUGUUUCAAACUCCCAAUUUAUAAAAGCUUCUAAUGAAAUAAAGCUUAAUUUGAGAGACAGAAUAAGUGAUAGCAGUACACAUUAUUUUUCAGUCAACACAGGCUGAUCCACAGUUAUAAAUAGUUUGUUCUCUGAAUUUUUUAAAAAAUAAAAUAAAAUGAAAUGAUAGAGAAGAAAGAGGGAAAAAGAAAAACUUCACAAUAACAGCAAGGUAAAGUAAAAUUUGGUCUUCAUCAGGACUUCCUCCAAUUUCCUUGCCUCCAUUUUUCUUCUCAUGCUGCUUUCAUUUGCUGCCAAGAGAAACAGAUUGGGUCGGUAUUUGAUACACUAAAGUGAAGUUUAAAAACUAUACAUACCAUUUUUUAUAUAUUCACAAUUCUUAUAAUUUUAUUUGUGGAAUUUAAAAUUUUUAAAUAACCAUUGAAAUAAUUAAAAAUUUAAGGGACGGAUAAAGCAGUUAUAUAUAUGUCUUGAAUGUAUUUAACUCACUCGUUUCUCUUCUUCCAUCUUGGCCUUAAUGAAAGAGUAGGCUGCCACUCCAGCAAUUGCAAUGACUGUUCCUAUACCAGUCUGAGUUGAAAUCUUGUUUCCUGCACCAAGUAUGGUUCGUUAGAUAUGGUUGCCAGUAUCCUAAAAUGAAGAACAAAAUCAUGGACUCUACAAAAUAUUAUACUUACCAAAGACAAUGAUUGAGAAGCCAAUGACAAAUACACGUUUCAGCACGUUGCCCACUGCAUGGGUCAGUGGUGCCACCCGCUCCAGAGUAUUGGUAGCCAACUGAAAAAGAAAAUAAAAACCUUAUUUAGCUUCGGUUGCAUAUUUGAAAAGAUUAGAAUAAAAAUAUUAAAUUCGAAAAUAUUACGAAACAUCAAUCAACAAGAUAGUAUCACUUUCCUUAGACCUCACCAUGAGUAUAAUGGUAUUGUUAUCUUUGAGUGUUAAUUGAUCUCUCAAAGAUUUAUCACUUGAAGGUACGCUUCCUAAAUUCAAACUUAGACGGAUAUUGCUAGUUGAUAGAUCAUGAUAGAAACAUUAACUUGAAUAAAAAAUAGUUACUGUUUAAAAUAUAAGUAAAGCUUGAGUUUUAAUAUUCAAAACUUGAACAUAGUUGAACUUUUUUUUUUAAUUUCAUAAUAUGUUAUUUUUGUUUUAUUUAUAUAUUAUAUAAUUAAUUUCAUAUGAAAUUUAUGUUAAAAAAUACGUUAAGGUGUUAAUGUUUACAAAUUUCAUAAAAGUAUAAUUUUAAUAUAUAUUUAAAUAUAUAUUUUUUUAUUUAAAAAACUAAAAAUAAUAGAGACAAGUUUAAAGGUUGGAUUUAAUCAUUCAUAAAUAAAUAUAAACAGAUUUAAAUAAACUAUGAACACCUCUAACCGGUAAAGUGAGGUCAUGCUUUAGACAGAUGAAGCAUAUCAAAAACAGAAAAUAAACUUAAAACACUAAAUAUGGAGAAAAUAAUUCACCUGAUUAUAGAGAUGGUAAAACAUUCCCACCCAGAAAAGAUCUGAGAUGAACUUAGUCAUACCCACUUUAGCAAUAGCAUCAUUGAAACCAUGCUUCAACAAUUGAGGACCCUCAAACUGCGACAAUCAGAUGGGGAAACACGGAAGGGUUUUAAACAGACUGUGUGCUUAAGCUUUUAACUAUCUAAAAAGCUGCAGCUGCAUGCAUUGAAACAUUUUUUCUUUUACUUACAAUGAGGGCUGGGGGAAUACAGACGAAGAGAGCAAUGAUGGAAAUAUAAGCAUAGACAUUUGUACUGUCCAUAUCCGUCUGCAUAUAUAUGAAAAAACCAACAAUUAUUAUAAUUCAAAGUUAUGAACAAACUGAAAAGUAAGAAGAAGAGGAGAAAGGUCACCAUGGCUUUCUUGGAAUAGAUACUCCUGUAAGUGAAGGAGAUGUUGGAAAUCAUUGCGCUAAUGAAACCCGUCCAAUUGAAUGACAGCUCAGUCAGUGAUGCCAUGGAUACACCUGCAUUCAGUUUGCAAUUAAUUAAUUGCAUUCAAACAUGGUAAAAUUCACACUUUGAACUGGUUUUCAUGAGGUGAUCGAACAGAGAAACAGAGAAAUUACCAAUAACAACAGGAGCAAGAGACAACCAUAGAGUGAUUGGUAUUGAUUGUCCAAGUAUGAACUGGGAAGCAGCAGCGUUAAAGAAAGGCUCAAGAGCUGCAAAAGCAAACAAGUUGUUCCUUAUCAGCCUCAUAAGCAAUAGUGCACUAUACAUAUAUGCACAAGAGAAUAAAUGCAUGAUGUAUUACCUUUGAUAGUGUGGGUGAAAGAAACAGCAACAGCUGCAAAGGAGACAUUGCUAGUUACAUGACCAAGUCCAUGGCAUACAGCAACAGGAAUCAACAACUUCAGUAGGUUUGAAUCAAUAGGCUACACACAUGAAAAAAAUAUAACAAUUCCAAUGUAAGGAAUCAAAUGCAAACGCAUACAUUAUAACGGAAAGGAGGAGAAAAUAGGUCUAAUUCUGAUAUUUGUCCUCUACCAUGCUAAAAUUUUACAUAAUUAUGUGUCUCUUCUUUUGUAAUGUUAUUAGUAAGUCCAAAAUGUAAAAGUUUUAUAUUGUUAUUUGGUCAUAUAGUUAGGGCCCGUGGAAUUCCAAUCGAAUUACAGGUCAGACAAAUUGAUAAGGCUGGUAAAAGAAAUUCUAAAUCAUCACUUUUAAUGGGAUCAACUUCAACCUACUAAUAAUAUUAAAAAUAGAAAGAUCACAUUGUGUGAAAUUGAAGUAAAAAUUUAAUCUCACCAAAAAAAAAAAGAGUAAAAAAUUUAAAUCUCAAAUUUUAAUAUAAUGCACCGACUAAAACCAGAAUUAGCCGAAUAGUAUGUGUCAAAAAAAAAGAAAAGGAAAUAGUAAGUUGAGAUAAUAGACUUGAAGGUUCACUUACAGCCCGCUUAGGGAGGCCUACGGCCCAGCUCACCAAACAGUAAACUACCCCAACGAACAAGUGAAUGACCGAUACAAAACUGCGCCGAAAAUGCCAUGAAAAAAAAUCCUUCAUAAUAAAGCCAUGCUAUGAACAAACAUUGAGAACCAAAAAAAAAUGUAAAAUGGAAAUUCAUGUACUCACUAGGGAUAAGGGAAGUAAUUGUAGAUCUUCUUGUUGAGAAUGUUGAAUAUUACAUUCAAGAAGUACCUGGAAAAAAAUUAAAUUAAAUGGAUGAUCGUGUAAUUCAAAAAAAUUGAAGUAAACUUGACGGAAUCUUAAUUGCCGUUUUGACUCAUUUGAAAGUGUAUCGUUGAACGGUUCUUUUUUUUUCUUUCUUUUUGUGCUUACGUAACUUACCACAUGAAGAAGAAAAAUCCGGUAACAAGAGCGGGAUACUUCUCGAAGAAUCCAACCGGAGCAAUCUUCCCAUCCCUGCAAUAACACACGAGUCAGUGAGUCAGUGACUGAAGCGUGGACGAGUUGACCGAGUCAGAACGGAGGAAACGGACCUCACCCGGCGGAAUCGCUUCCUCCCUCGGCCGGUGACGACGCGGCAGCCGAAACCGGUUUCAGGACCUCUGGCUUGCUAACCGACGAGCAUUCUAGUAGCAAGGAGGGCCUUAGUUGCCUCCCCCAUAUGAGGUUCCCGCCUUCACCGACGGCUCCGAUCGGCUUAGCCGAAGCAAACGAAACGUUGACAAUCCCUGGCGAAAGCUUCGGCCUGAGCUGAGGUAAGCCGGUGAUAACAGAAGCGCGUGAUAACAAUCGCGACUCCAUUGCUAGAGAGAGAGAAAAGGAAUGGAAAGUAACGAACGAAAAUGAGUGUAUGCUAGCAAGAGUGAGCUCUUAAUGGAGAGACGCAAAUUAACUGUCUCUAUUUUUUUUUUAAUUUUUCUCAACUACUAAUAUUUUCUAUUUUUGUGGUUCUCAAAUUUCAAAAACAAUUACAUCACUUUUGUUCCUCUGCACCCAAACACAGGACAAUAUAAUGAAACCUCUUACUUCAUCAUGUAGGAUCAACGGUGCAGUAUCACAAAAGAACAUAGAAAGAGGGAAUAUGGUUCGGUGAACACAGCAUUUCCCUUUUUUUUAUUUAUUUAUUGAUUUGGGUACAAAUAGAAGAUUGAAUAGUUAAACUUUUUAAUUAUAGUAUUUAGUAUAGGUAGGUCUGUUCUUGAUAUUUUUGGGGCACUAGACAAAAUGAUAAAAUAGAGUUUUUAGAGAAAAACUUUUUUACAUCUUUGGUAAACUUUUUUUGACUUUUAAAAUUUAAAAAAAAAUUCAACCCUUAAAAAUCGAAAAAUAAUAUUUUAGACCCCUCUUAGCCUUAGGCCUUGGGUGACCGCACCUCUAAACAACUCCCAGGGCCGGGGACUUGGGUGUAUGAAGGUUUGUAAGAGGUUUGUAACGAGAUAUUUAGAAUGAGAUAUAUAUCUAUUUCUUGAAUAUUUAUGUACUUUUAAAUUAUUUGUGUAAAAUAAUUUCUUAUGCAACUUUAUAUUAAUUGAAAUAUGCUAUUUGACAAAUUUAUUCAGAGUGUGACAUAAAUACCACUAAUUUACAUAUUAAGAACAUGACAUUCACUAAGAAUAUAAAUUUACAAUUAUAUUGAUACACUGUUAAUAUUUAUCAAUUUCCACAAAAGUUAAUAUUUGCAAAUAAGAAACUUAAUAAAAUUUGUUUAUUUAAAUUUUCAAAAAUAUUCGCUAAAUAAUUUUCAUAAUAUAUGUUAUAAUUUUUUGGUAAGAGUGUUUAUUUCAAUAAUUUCACCAAAUAAAUAUUUAAAAAUAAAAUAUAUCAUAUAUUUAUUUCUCAUUUUACAUAUUUCUACUUUCAGCUAUCAGUAAACAGUUAAUAGAACUAGACCAACCACAGCAAUCCGCUAUUAACUAGUAGCCAAUUGUGAGACAGUAUUUAUUAGAGUCAAGACUAAUCCGAGAGAAUGAAAAGUAAAAGGGUGGAGACCUAAAUUGUGGCUGAAGAUUUAGGGGUGGCAAGAUAUUUGGAGAAUGAAGAGAAAAGUAGGGCCGGUUCUUAUCCCCAAUGAAAGGCUCGUGAAGGGAAGAGGAUAUAGUGACUCUUGUCCAAUCCUUACUGGUCUAUUCCUUGAUUUUCCAUAACAUCCUUAUCUUCUUCAAUCUUUUCCUUUUCUCUUGUGUGGUGAAAAUUGAAAAAAUAUAUAUAUUAUUUUUUUGUCAGAUAAUAUCCAUUUUAGGAUCAUUUUAAAAAAGAUUUGAUAGUUUAAUAUAUAUGAAUAAAAAAUUGGUAAGAAGAAAGAGAUUGGUAGCGAGUGGUAUGCAUGGGAAAGGUUGUUGUUGCAUGUAAUUUUCAUUGAGCUGUGGUUAUAGUUCUGACACAUGUAUUUUUGUUUAGUAAACACGACACCUGUUUCGAUCUCCUUUCAAACCCGAAAUUAUUUUACGGACAGUUUUUAUCAUAUUAUUCAUGGUUUCAUUUAAUAAUAAAAAGACGUAUCAUCCUUUUUUUUCUACAUUGUAUAUACAUUUAAAUUAAACUUUCAAAUAAAAAAUGAUAUAUCUUCUUUUAAUUGAGCAGAAUCAUGAAUGAUGUAAUAAAAAAAGUUCAUAAAAUAAUUUCUCGCAUUCAAACUCAUUUACUUGUCUCUAAUCAUUUGAGAUUUUCAUUUUUCUUUUUAAUUUAUCAUAAUUUUAAACACCAAACUCAAUAAUUGAUAUGAGUAAAGAUAAAUUUGUAAAAGAACUUAUAUAUUCACUUAAAAUAACUUGACCAAAUUACAGAUCCUAUGUAUGCAUUAAUAUUUCAAUAAAGGUAUCGUAUAGGCGCUUAUAUUAAAAGUUAUAUUGCAUUUUGUUGUCUUUACUAAAAAAAUAAGUAAAUUAGUUUAAGUACGUUAAAUAAAAAAACAAAUUAAUCAUUCUAUUAAAAAAUUUAUCUAUUUUUAUUAUUAAAAACUGAUACUUGACAUGUCACAUAUAACUGUCUUAUUAUCCGUCAACUAGAGGCUUGUCCGAAAAAAUGAUCUGGUCAAAUCUCGGGUAAGAAUUUUUUGGCCUAAUCACGGCCUGAAUUUGUAUUUUUUUUAUUUUGCUACUAUUUUCUCACUGCUUUGCUACCAUUUCACUAUUUUGUUGUUAAUUUUGCUGCCAUUUUAGAGAUAUUUACUUGUUAAAUUGUACCUAUCUUAAUGUUAUUGAAGUAAAAAAACCUUUUUUAAUUUAUUUUCAAUUUAUCGGGAACACAUUUAUUUUAAUGUUUCUAGUGCAUUUAAUGUAUUAUAUUUUUUAUUUUUUAAAUAAAAGUAAAAAAAUGAAUACGAACAAGUCGAGUCGAGUUUUAACAUUUUUAUCCGAAUCGAGUUUGGGCAAAAAUUUAAGCCCAUUUUCGGGCCAAACCUUUUAUUAAGUUUUGACUCAUGGACAACUCUACUGUUAACUACACCAAUUAAAAAUAAAUUAUUUUCUUUUGAAAAACUAAUUUAUCUUUCGAUGUAAAAAUUAAUUCACCUAACUUUUUAAAUAAAAAGCACAACCUCCGCAGCUUUUUACCCAACCCUGGAUUGGGGCUAGUAGUGAUAACUCGUUUUCUCAGGUUACUAGGCAUGUUUGGGUACAAAUUUGAUAGGGAAAUUGCAACUAACGGUUUGGCAUAUUGGGUUGAAUACGCAGAUGAUGCCAUUAAGCCCAACAAAACACACAAUAAGCUCUCGAGUAUCAAGCUUAUCUUUUUCAGCUUCCAAAAGAUUGGGCUGUUGAAUUGUUUCAGGUUUGGGUCUUAUGCUUCUGUUAUCCUGAAGAACUAAUUAUAUACGUGUUUCCUAGAGUUAAUUUCCCUAAACAUAUCAACAAUGGUUGAGACUAUAAUUUACUUCUAAAUACUUCAAAAACUUGUUAAAGUAUCGAUAUCGCAUUAAUCAAGUAUUUUCUUUCGGUUAAUCUAUCAAUUUGUAUUAAUUUUGAUAUAAAAAAGAACAUGUAAAAAACACACGGAUUAAUUGUCAACCAUAUUCAUGUCUAUCGUAUGGACAAUUUGGAUUUGAUAUGUUAAGGUCACUAAAACUAUUAAAAAGUUUACGUCUUGAUCAAUCAACUUUAAAAUGUUACAAAAUGGUCAUUAAACUAUUUAAAUGUUUUUAUUUAAGUCGUUGAGCUGUUAAUUUUUCUUUAAAAAAAUUGUUUAGCUAACAAGCUCAAAGCAACGAUUUAAUAUAUGGUACUAUUGACAAGUUGAAGAACAUACAUUAUAUUUAAGUUAAUCUAAUAUUUAGUAUCAGAGAUCAAAGAAGAAAGAUUUUUAGAUUUUGGUUCAUAAAUUAAUGACAUUUAAAACUAUUUUAUAAAAAAAACUAAACAAUAAAAAAUAAGAAAAAUAAAAUUUUUCGAUUGUUACCAGUAAUAUAAACAGAGAAAAUCAUAUAAUAAUAAUUUUAAUAGAUUAAAUGGAAACAAUAAAUAUUUUAUCUCAUAAACGUUAAUUGGCCGACAAAGGAAAGCCAAUUCCAUGGCGUGUAGUAGGGAAGACAACAAACAACAUACUACCCAAAACCCCAAUACCAACCGGUAACGCAGUGAGCAUCUCCUGAGCCUGUCUCGACGGUGCCGGAUAAAAGCAAUUCACCACGUUCUGAUCAAACAGCGCCACAGCCGCGAACACCAGUAUCGACAAAAAAGCAUGUACGAAAUCUAUAAACCGCAACCGGUAUUUCGCCGCAGAUUCCGACGGUAAAGUGCCCGAACCAUCAAUGACCCACAACCCAUUCAAAGUUGCCAACCCGUAACAAACAUUCCCAUCCUUGUCUCUGAAACUAUCCGUGAAGCUGGUGAAGAAACACGACAACCCACAAAGGAGUAUCAGUCCGGCAGUCAUGGACCGACACACCGAGUCACAGUCUCCUUGGUUAGUGAAAAUGGGGGAGAGAAGCUGGAAAGCAAGGACGGUGCCGGUGGGUAAUAAGUUAGCCAAAUGUGCUGUGCUUUGAAAUGUUUAACUGAUUGCUAUUUGUAUGAGAGUUUUUCUUUCGGGUGCGGGUAGUACUGCCAAGUCUUGUAGGAGGUGUUCAUGCGAUUCAUCAUCAGCAUUAGCUUGAAAUUUGAUAUCCAUGGCUGAGAAAUGUUCUUAAAUUAUACAUAUAUAAAAUUUCUCUGUUACUUUUGCUGAGAAACUGUGUAUAUAUAUAUAGAUUAUGGAAGUUGAUCCAUUGAGUAGACAUGUUCUUGAGUGGUGGUAAAGGAAGGGAAGAGAAUGAAGCGAUGCCUUGCAAGGAAAAGCAAGCUUCCAAAAUAUAGAAAAUCAUCGAGGUUCCGCCAUAUCCUGAAAUGGGAGUUUUGGUUUCAAGCAAGGGCAGAUCUAAAGGUCCCUAAAACGGGAAAUUUUAUAUUUAGGUUGUUUAUAAUUUAUAAUAUUUUAAAUUAUACUUUAACCCUUCAAAAAUAUAAAUAUUUGAUUUAAUUUUUUAAUUUGAUUUAAUUUUUUAAAAAUUAUAAAGAUAUAGGCUAUUAAAAUAGUAAAAAUAUAUUUUUACUAUCAUAAAAUAUAUAAUUUAAUUUUGCCCCCAAAAUUUCUAACUUCACCCCUACUUCCCAAGUCAUAUUUUUUGAUCCGCCACUGGUUUCAAAAUUUUACUUGGAUAAAAUUUAUGGGGAAAUAGUAAGUAGCUAAAUAUUUGAAUAUCGUGGAUGGAGAAAAAAUAAUGUCUGGAGAGUUUUUUAGUCCAAUUCAACUCAAGUUUGAAUUUAGUCAUAGCCUAAUAUGGCUACUCCCUGUUCAAAGUUUCGAUUUAGUUCAAUUCUAGAUUUAGUGGGAGUCUAAUUUAACUACUAAGUUUUUUUAAAAAAAAAGUUAAGAUUGACUGAUAUUAACAAUUAUUGGGUCGAGUAGUAAGAAUUUCAAUAUCACUAAAUAAUGUAUUAUGUUUGAGUCUUAUGAACGAGAAAAACAACAUUAGAAAAAUGUGCCUCAUUUUAAGAUCCAAUCCAACUCGCCUUCAGAUAACAAGGAUUCAAUAUAAUUGUCGAAUAUGAUUAAUCAAAUAGGGUUUGAUUUGGCUCAACAUUGAAUUUAGUUGUAACCCUAUGACAGAUCAUUUAGAGAUUUAGUCUAGUUCAACAUCAAAUUUAAUCGAAGUCCAAUAUAAUUACCAAGGUUAUAGAAAAAAAUGUGAUUAAAAAGAGCAAUUAAAACUAAUGAUUAUUAGGUGGAGUAGUAAAAACUUUAAUGCCCCUUUUAAGUAAUAUCUAAUGUUUGAAUUUUGUGGACAAAAAUAACAUUAAAAAAAUGUUAUUCAUUUAAAAAUUAGGGUAAAUUACCCCGUUAGUCACUUUAAAUAUGAAUCGUUUCUAUUUUAGUCAUUCUAAAGUAGAAAUUGAUCAAGUAUGUUACUCCACUGUUAAAUGGUGACUAAUGGUGCAUUUCUACGUUAGACACCAUUAGUCACUAUAAAUAGGGGUUAUCACUAUUUUGAUCACUCUAAAUUUUUUGCGUAUAAAUAUACCGUUAAUCUUUCAUUAUCAUUUAACGGUUGAGUGAUCAAUUUAACCAAUUUCAGUUUUGGAGUGAUUAAAUUAACAAAAAAAAUUGAGAUGACGGAAAUAAAAACUGUUCGAAUGACUAACAUUAGAAUUUACCCUAAAAUUUUAGAGUUAAUGUCAGCAGAUGAGAAGUGUGUGUUGCUUAUGGGAAAGUCAGCAGAUGUCAUUCUUUUUGCCGAGACGCAAUGCAUAAUAUAAACUACAUGUGAACCGGCAAUCUUUUCAAUUUUUAUUUGAAGUUGUCUUUUCUUAUUUGUUUAUGGUUUUAUUUCAAUGCUUGUUUUAGAGGCUAAUAUUAUUCUCUGCAAUUUCAAGCUGCCUUUUUGUAUAAAUUUUUUUCUGCAAAAAAAGGGAAAUGAAUAUAACCAUCGCUUGCACGUCAGAACUACAGAUUACUUAUAGAUUAAUGGGGGGAGAGACUUUGUGAUGUGCUGCCCUUCGGGUUGUGGACGCAAUCCCUGCCUAAUGCCACUCUAACUAAUUCAUAACUUAAUAAUCCUUUGCUUGAUUUAUCUUAUGGUCAAAGCUUGAUUCAAGUGAAAGUUGUUCUUCUUUAUCUUCGAAUUAGGUUGUAAGGUUUUUGGUCUUUUUCUAGAAAAAGUUUUUGAAAUGACGUCUUUUUGAAAUCGACAAACCUCUCAACAUAUUUAAUAUCAUCCUUAGUUGGAGUUUUGUCUUUCAACUCCACCGAAGUUGUCUAAAAGAGGUGGUGGAGUCAAUAGAAUGGAGCACCUCAUUGAGUGCUUGAAGAGACAAAUCAUGCACCACACAAUUUACAUAGACAUAAGUAUGGGGGUUUGAACAAAAAUAUAGGCCUGAAAAUAAGUUUGGGUAAAAAAAUAAGAUUAAAUUAAAAAACGGUUUGGGUCUUAGAUAAACUUUUUUGGCUUGAGCCCAGCUUGAAUUUGUAAAAAGAAAAUGACUGUUGUUUUAUUUUAAUGUUUUUAGUGUAUUUAAUAUAUUAUAUUUUUUAAAAUUUAUUUUAUUUUUUUAUUUGAAUUGAGCUUGAACAAAAUUUUAAAUUAUUUUACAGAUCAUACUUAUAAAAUGAACUUAAAACAAUUACCUCUAAAUUCACAUAAUUAAGAAGUUUUGGUCGAAUAAUACUUGUGAAAUUAGGUAAAUCCACAAACCGACUGUAAAACCCUAAAAGGAGGCCAUUUCUUGUUUGAUCAUCAUCCCUUAUUUCCCAAACAAAUACAUUUUAAAACGAAAAGUAACUUCCCAUCAAAGCAGUUUACGUUUUAGUGCUUUUAGAUUUUAUCAAUGGAAAUAAGGUUAAAUUUGCAUUUUUAAUUUUUUUUUUCAAGUUUUAAGCAAAGCAAUUAAAUAAAUUCUGUGUUAAUCCGAUAAUUAAGAUAUUCACUGUCGAGUUACCUUACUUUUGUUACUGUUAAUAUUUUACCCUCUUCUUAUAAUUUAAAAUAAUAAUAAUAAUAAUAAAUUUCAUCUUCAUCUACUUCCAAUUGGGCCCCAUUUACUUGAAGCAACCCAACAAUGAUGAAACUCAGCCCAUAUCAUAAAAAUUGCCUUUAAAUAGAAAGGGAUAAUUCCACAAAUAGCCCUAAACUAUAAUAAAUCUCUCAAUGUGAUACUUGUUUUUUGAAAAUUACAAAUAGCCCAAGUUUCCCUUCGUCUAUUAAAGUGGUACUUGUCAUUAUUGCGAUUAAGAAGAAAUGGUAUGGCAAUAGAUAAUGAUGCCACAUGUUAAUACGACUAAUUUUAAAAUAUACACUAAGGGCAUAUUUUACGAUGCUAUGUGGCGUCAUUAAGUGGUGAUAUGUGUUAAUAAACAAUAAUUAUUUUAAUUUUAUAAUUUUUAAAAUAACAUGUGGCACUAUAGAAAUAGUGUUGCAUGUCAAUAACGCCACAUUGAGAUCAUUGUGUGGUGCCCCAUGUCAAUGGGGUCACUUGGUAUCAUUAUCAUGGUGUCCUCUGACAUCUUUUUUUAUUGAUACGAGACACCAUGAUAAUAAUACAUUUCUAAUAGACUGAAUAAAGUUAUAAGUAUCAGAAUUUUAUAAUCGAUUGAACUGUCAAUUUUUUAUCUCAAUUUAUGUUUUUACUUAUUCAUAAUGGUUUGCUCUAUUUCUAAUUAUAUAUAAUUGAUUUUCAAGUCAAUCAAAUCAACUGGUCGGUUCAAUUCUUAGAACAUACCUAUAAGUGUCACAGGGUUGGACUUUAGCCUAGCAAAUCGUGUGGUCUUAGAUAAUAAAUUCAUUCCAAAUCUACCUAAGUCAGCCUAAGCCCUCAAAAAGUGAGAAUCUCAACUAAAAUUCUCUAACGAACUGAUGCUUUAUAAAAGCAAGUGAAGCAAGCCACAAAACAAAAGAGAGAGGUUGAGGAAAGAACACAACUUGAUUCAAUGUGUUUUAUAAUUUCUUUAAACCUCUAAAUGCAAAUUGAGUCCCUAAGUGAUUACAAAUGAAAGGGCAAUGCCUCUAUUUAUAGUUGAGAUUCUCAAAAUUCAACGAUACAAAAUGACUUACAUAAACAAUUGAGAUUAAAAUCAAACUACAAUAUGAAACUCUCAAGGAAUUUAAGUUCUAUACAAUCUUAUCCUUCGAGCUACAAAAUUACCCUUGUUACCAGACUUCAAAUAAAUGGAUUUUUUUUUAUGUUUCACAAAUCGAGUCAAUCUUAACGAAUUAAGUGAGUCCAAUUUAAUUAAUUGACAUCCUUUAAAUUAUUAUGUGCGUAUUAAUCACGAGUUUUGAUACAUGUGGAAAAAAAAGUACUGUUCUCUUUUGGUGUGGGACAUUCGCAAUCAUUUCAAAUGUUUGAGUUCAAAAUUAAUUUCGAGUUUAAAUUUACCAUUAAAUUAACAAACUUCCACACCCACCUCUAAUAUACUUUUUUGCUUAUGAGCAUCGAUCAUGAGGCUAUUUGGUAACAUGGAUAUGAUAAAGACAUAAUGAUACCAUAUGCAUGCCUAAUUUGACAUCCAAACUUUCUUUUUUUCCUCUCUCUCUCUUUUUUUUUUAAUGAUGUUCUAAAUUUAUGUGUAUUUUUUUCCCCAUCAAUUUAUUCUAUUUUGAUAAUUUUGUACUUUGUGUUAACAAGUGUUAGCUAAAAAAUAAAUAGGGAAAAUAAUCAUCAUGAUUUCCAACAUUAAUUAUUAUUUCUAAUUAUGUUUUUAAGAUACAAAUAAUAACCUAAUCAAAAUGGACCCUUAUAGUAACUUUGUUUUCUUCUAUGCUAUAUAAGAUAAAAUUACAAGAGAAAUUGUCAACUUUGUUUUAUUUUAUUUUGUAUUUAAAAGUUUAAAAGUGAAAUAUCUUCACUCAAUCAAAGGUGAACAAGAUUGAAAUUGAAUGUUUUAUUUAUGUGAAUGGUUUAAAAUAAGAUUUCUCAGGUAGAUCUGAUCAUGAGUCGAGGUACUCAUUUAGAUCUGAAGGCUUAUUCUAAAAGUGAGAGGGUUUGAGUAAAAAUAUAAGUUCAAAAAAUAUACUUAGACAAAAAAAGGCCUGUUUAGAAAGCAGGUCAGGCCUCGGGCCAGACUUUUUUGGCUCGGGCCUGGCUAGACCCGAAUUUGACAAAAAAAUUAUGUUGUUUAUUGCUGUUAUGUUGUUUUGCUACCAUUUUCAUAGUAUAUUGCUACUAUUUUAUUGUUACUGUUUGGAUAUUGUAUAAUUUUUGUUUUAUUGUUAAUUUUACUAUUAUUUUAGAGGUAUUUGCUUGUUAAGUUGCAACUAUAUUAGUGUUAGUAUAAAUACCUUUUUAUAUGUAUUUUUAAUUUGUUGGAAAACAUUUAUUUUAAUAUUUUUUUGUCUAUUUAAUGUAUUAUAUUUUUAAAUUUAUUUUUAUAUAAUAAAUAAUCUAAAAAAAUUAAUACGAGCGGAUCGAGUCAAGCUCAGAUUUAACAUUUUUUAUUCAAAUUGGACUUGAGUAAAAUUUUGAAGUCUAUCUUUUAAGCCGUACCAAAUUCAGGCCUAAAAAACGGAUCUAAAUUUUUACACUAAUCCAACUUGACCUAUAAUCAACUUUACAGUCUCACCCUUGAUUGUGCCCCUAAUUUUGUCUAAUUUUAAAUAUAUACUUGUUGAGACUAUAAUCUAGAAAAGGCAAAAAACCUUCGCGUUCUUCCCCGAGAAACCUCACCCAAAACACCCAUGGCCAGAUUGCCAAAGAUGAAUGAAGGGGGAAUCCCUCGACAAAACAUGAUAAAGACCCAACGUUCGUCAGACACCUUCUACGAACCUGACAAUAAGACUAUGUUGUUUAACUUUCCUGAUAACAACGAGACAUGACAUGCAAAGAAAUCAAAACCCACGUGAGAGAACAUCCUAGCAAUACAACAUAUCUUCCAAUUACAUUACACAAUACAUAUCAAAACCUCUCCAUGACUAAAGACAUAAGAGGCUCUCUUCCACACCCUAAACCUUACCUCUUUAACACAUAUUAAAUCCUUAAAAAUCUCUUUCUUUGAUCAACCAUGUUAGAUUUUCCUUCUCAACUACUCCAAUCAUAUAAAUAAGAGGGAGAAAGCUUGAAAAAAAAGGCUAAUUUUUGUGAUGAUAAAAAGGAGAAUGAGCCACUAUCUUUUUUUGCAGACAAACUCAUGGGGGGGGGGGGGCAUAUAGCUCAGAUGCACAAACAAGUAUGGUGGUGAAGGGAUUUGUUUUAUUACUUUUUACUGCUCCCUUCACCAACCCCAUUGCUCUCCAAUAAUUGAAACCCUCAACCUUUUCCCCCUUAGGCCUCCAUCUCCAAUUGAUUAGCUAUACCUGAACUUUCCCCCCUCAAAUUUAGGUGAUCUGCAUGCUUGGAAAAAAGCCUCAAUUAUGACAUAGCCAUGACCUCACUUUUACAAAGGCUAAUUUUUCUUUUUCUUUUUUUUUAAUACUAGCUUGCAAAACAAUAGAAUUUGCCUUUCUUUGAGUACUAUGUUUCAAACAUUGUUUUGAAUAAAUCUAUAGAUUUCAAAAAUGGAUCAAUGCAGAAAAAUAUUAUAGUAGAAGGCAUAAUUCACAAAACAAUAUUCUCUCUUUUGGUCUUAUAUUAUUUUUGUGCACAAUCCUAAACUAAUUAUUCCUACUUUCUUAGCCUAGCUUCCAAACUUGAACUAAUUUAUCUGUUUAUUCUAAAUUUUACGACGAUAAUUUGAACUGAAAUUUUGUUGUCAUUCGUUAAUUUAAAUAGUUAAUAUUUUCAAUUAUUUCAAUAAAAAUGUUGACAUCAUGCUUACAUGUUUUUUAUUGGGAGGUUAAUUUUUUUUAAAUCAUGUAGCAUUUUAAGUGGAUAGUUAAUUUUGUUAACUAUUUUGAUUAGGGAUUGUAAUGAAUAUUGUGUAUUUGGAUAUUUACGGAUAUUCAGUUAGUUUUUUGUCAAUUCAGAUAAUAUUCAUAUUCAAAUGUUUUAAUUAUUAUCUGUAGCAAAUAAUGGAUAUCUAAAUCUACUUUAUUUUAACAAAUAAUGAAUUUAGAUAUCUAAAUUUAUCAUUUGCAUUACUUUUUAAAAAUUUUAUUUAAAAAUAUUUUUAUACCGACUAAAUGUUGAUACUAGCGGAUUGGGAAAUUAGAUAGAUAAUUUAAUUAGUUUGGAUUUGGAUUUAGAUAAUAAUACUCGUUUUUGAUAUAGAUAAUAAACGGAUUAUGAUUUAAAAGCAAAUUUGCAUAUUUGGGUUCAAAUUUUAAAAUUUGCAAAUAUCCAACAUGUUGUCAUCCUUAAUUUGAACUAACUAAUGACAUUAUAAAAGUAGAAAGAUCAAGUUUGUAACACCCCUUACCCGUAUCCAACACCGGAAUAGGGUACGAGGCAUUACCAAAACACAUACACUUGUAAACGUAUUUAACCGAGUUAUAAAAUUUCAUCAAAAUUAAAACUUUCAAAAUAAUUAACAUGUUUCUAUAACUUUUCACAAUAUAUCCUCAAAAUAUUAUAAUCAUAAUAAUUAGGGCCUGCAAGACCCGAUACAUACUCAUGCAAUUUAAUGCUUCAUUUCCAUUUCAUUCAAUUCGCAAUUUCUCAUGCUCAUAAUUUAAAUCAUAUCACUAGAAAUUUCCAUUUAAUUCACGUACAAUUCAAUGACAUCAAAUUCAAAACUAAUACGUAUUUACCAUUUAACUCAAUGUUUAUUGAUUAUACCAUUCAAUAACACAUUUAUGAAAUUCUCAAUUUAGCAAUGAAAAUAUCACUUUAGUUUGAAUAACAACAUCGUCCUGAUAUAAAUACACUACCACUUAUCCAUUUACUUUAAUUCUUUUGGGCCCAUUUGUCACUUACCAUCCUUAAUCAAAUUAGGGAACGGUCACGGAAAAUUGAGUACUUCACUUUCACUUUGCCAUAGUAUAACUAUGGUCUUACGUAUGAUCACUUAUCACUUGUCCCUGAUCAGAUAAGUGUAGCCACCUAUCACUUUGUUUCUUGAUCAGAUAAGUGUAGCCACUUAUCACUUUGUCUCUUGAUCAGAUAAGUGUAGCCACUUAUCACUUUGUCUCUAGAUCAGAUAAGUGUAGCUAAAGCUAUCACUUAUCACUUUUCACUUGUCACUUGAUCAGAUAAGUGUAGCCGAAGCUAUCACUUAUCACUUUUCACUUGUCACUUGAUCAGAUAAGUGUAGCCGAAGCUAUCACUUAUCACUUUGUCACUUGAUCAGAUAAGUAUAGCCGAAGCUAUUACUUAUCACUUUCCACUUGUCACUUGAUCAGAUAAGUGUAGCUAAAGCUACCACUUAUCACUUUGUCACUUGAUCAGAAGUACUCAAAUCCGGCGUUCCGCUCAAUUUGAUCAUUUAUUCAUAUAUCAGGCUUACCAACAUGUGUUAAUUCAUAAACCAUUCAUGGUAUUAUUUCAUGCCAAAUCAUAUACUGAAUAUACCAUACACACAUACUAUGAAACUUUAUUUUCACACAUGAGCUUAAACCAUGACCAAUAAUGCACAAAAAUAAGCAUCAUUCAUAUUUCAUCGUUUAUGAGUUAUAAUCAAACAUAUGACCAUUUAUACACGAAUCAUUCAUAUAUUUCCCAAUUUUCCUCCUCCUCCUCUCCAUUCCACAUCCUUAAUGUGUAUAACACACUUAAACAACAUUAACCAUAAUUUCAAUAUUCACUAACAUGUAUAUUCAAAGCUGUUUAUCCGAGUCAGAGUCACUAAAUUAUUUUUAUCUGGAGCUACAGAGCUCCAAAUUAAGAUCCGUUAAUUUUCCCUGAAACUAGACUCACAUAUCUUCAUACCAUAAAAUUUUCAUAAUUUUUGGUUCAGCCAAAUAGUACAGUUUAUUCUUUAAAUUUUCCCCUGUUUCGCUGUCUGACUGUUCCGACCACUCUUCACUAAAAAUUAAUUAUCUCAUUGUACGGAAUUCGGAUGAUGUUUUAGCUUGUUUCUUAUAAAAAUAGACUCAUUAAGGAUUCUAACCAUAUAAACUAUAACUCAUAAUCAUUUUUGUACAAUUUUUAAUGAUUUUCCAAAGUCAGAACAGGGGAACCCGAAUUCAUUCUGACCUUGUCUCACAAAAUCUAUUAUAUCUCAUGAUUUACAAUUCCAUUGCUCACAUCAUUUCUUUUAUAAGAAACUAGACUCAAUAAGCUUUAGUUUCAUAUUUUAUUCAUCCUCUAAUUCAAUCUCUAAAAUUUUUGGUGAUUUUUCAAAGUUACACUACUGCUGCUGUCCAAAACUGCUUUAGUGCAAAAUGUUGAUUUCCAUUUUGCCCCAAAUUUCACAGUUUAUACAAUUCGGUCCUUUCUCAAUUAACCCCUCAAUUAAUCUAAUUUUCUCAAUUAGUACUUUACUAGACAUUAUAAGUUGUUACACAACUAUUGAAAUUCAGAAUUUCCACAUAUAACUCUAUCUUCAAACUCUUUUACUAUUAGGUCCCAAACAUUCACUUUCUAUUCAAUUCUUUCAAUAAAAUCAGCAUAUGAACAAUUUAAAGCUCUAAUUUCAUGCUAAAUCAUCAUAUACUUCCAGCACAUAUUCAUAUCAACUUUCAACUUCUUUCAUAAAAUCAAAAACUAAUGGAUUUAACAAGUGGGCCUAGUUGUAAAAGUCAUAAAAAUACAAAAAUUUCAAGAAAUAGUCAAGAAUUGAACUUACUUGUAAUAAAAAUAUGAAGAACCAGCUUGAAGAAGCCCUUCCAUGGUGUUUUAGCUGAUGAGAAUUCAGAAAAAUGAAGAGAAAUCUGGAUAAUUCCACUUGGGUCCUAACUUUAUUAAGCAAAAUUUGCAAUUUUCCAAUUUUGCCCUUAAUUCUCCUUACUUUCUUGCUGAUUUCAUGCCUCUGCCGUCCAGCCCAAAUAGACCUUGGGUCUAUUUUCCUUUUAAGCCCUCUUCCUUUUAUCAUUUAAGCUAUUUAAUCAUUUCCCAAAAUUUUGCAUUUGUUACAAUUUAGUCCUUUUUGUUCAAUUAAUUAUCGGAACUUUAAAAUUUCUUAACGAAACUUUAAUACUAACUUUUUAACACUCCAUAAAUAUUUAUAAAAAUAUUUAUGGCUCAGUUUAAAAUCCCCGAGGUCUUGAUACCUCAUUUCGAUUCUAAUUAUUUUAAUAUUUAUUUCUAGUGCACUAUUCACUAUUUCAAAAAUUUUCCUAACUUCAUAUUUAACUUAUACUUACUAAAUUAAUAAUAUUUUCUACCCAUUUGUCGAAUUUAGUGAUCUCGAAUCACCGUUCCGACACCUCUGAAAAUUCAAGCCAUUACAUUUUUUUUUUCGUCGGAUUUGUGGUCCCGAAACCACUGUUCCGACUAAGCCUAAAAUCGGGCUAUUACAAAGUUAUUUGAGAAAUUAAAUAUACAAACCGAAUCACUAAUUUGAGCAUAGUAAAGGGAUCAAAACCAUAAAAAUCAAAUUGUUUGUGUUCAUAAUAUGUGGCUAGAAUUUUCUUAGUUAACAAUAGGGAGUCCUCAACUUCUAAUUGACCAAUAAAAAAUUUUCCUUCAUUUUCUAAAGUCACAUGAUAAACAAGUGGAACUGCAUUAGCAUGUUUGAAUGAGGACUACAAAUUCAUGAUUAUACCAUUCUUGUAGAUUGUAUUGAAAUCAUCUCAUUCAUAUGAACACCUCAUCUGUUAAAUGAUUGCUAUAGAAACCAUCAUCUUUAUUUUAUUAUUAUUUUUUAUGAUUAAGGUAUCAUUCAUAUUGUUUUAUAAUUUAUAUGAAGAUUAAUAUUUUCGAGUUUCAUCUUCAGAGUUUGAACAAAUCUUAACUAUUAUUCUUCUUUUAUAUGAGUUUUGAAGUUUGAACAAAUCUUAAAAUUGCUCUAUCUAAAUUAGCCUGUUUAGUAGUUGUCUCUUAAUCAGCUAAUGUAUAUAUAAUACAUAUAUAUAUAUAUGGGGAAAGGAUUGUAUGAAACAAAAACACCACAUCAUCCUAUAUUAUUUAUCAAUUAUUUAAUGUCAUUUUUUUAUGUCAUUAACAUAUCAUUUUGGUAAUUUUUAACCUAAACCGUAGGUCUAAGAUCCAUGAUCCAAGGUUUCAAGGUACAGGGUUUAGGGUUUAAGAUUCAGGAUUCAGGUUAAAAAAAUUACUAAAAUGAUGUGUUAAUGACAAGAAAAAAGAUACUAAAAUGACAUUAAAAUUGAUAAGAGAUACAGGAUAAUAUAACGUAUCUAUUUUAUACGAUUUUUUCAUAUAUAUAUGUACGAGAGAAUCAAAAGAAACCAAAUAGAAUCUUUUUCAUUGAUGUUUCCAGGUAGACCAACCACUAAUCAUUCGCAAGCAAUGCUAAGAAAAGAGUUUCAAGUUUGUACCAAAAGAAGAGAAAGUUAAUUAAAAAGAAGGCUAAAAAUAUUUUUGGCAUAACACAUGCAAAAAGCUGAGGAAAUGGUGUGAAUGGAUGAAAUGUAGAAUUGAAGCAUAAGAGGAUAAUUAUGAUUGUAAGCCACCAUUGCUCUCUUUUCUUUUCUUUUUUUUUUUCUCAUCUUUUAUCAAACCUUAUUAUAAUGAAAUAAAGCAUAUACUUUCCCUCAAAUUUUGUAAAAGAGGGCUUUGAUUUUUUGGUCCCACUCAAAUCUUGGCUAAUGUGGGCUACUUAAAAAAUGUACCUUGUGGGUUGUCAUGUGGUCACCUACAACAGUUCUAAGCACCAUAGGUGUGUAUAUAGUUUAAUUUGAUUCUUUUGAAUUAAGAUUAUAAUAAAGUGUUCACACUUUUUUUUUUGACUUGCACACUUUGUUGAUAAGUACUCACUUGUUGAGGCGUGAAAGUCUCCAUUUGCUAUUAAUUGAUUUUUUUUAAUAUUUAAUCGUUAAUCGAAUCGAAAUAUUUCGAUUAAUUCGGUCGAUUAAUCGAAUUAACUAAAAUUUAUAUGUUUUUUUUUAUUAAAACAAGUAUAAAAUAUAUCAAAAAUAUAAAUUGAUAAUAUUCAUUUGAUUGAAUUAACCGAAUUAAAACUACAUAUAAUUUGUAAUGUUAAUUAUUAAUUUGGAUUAAUUCAGUUAAUUACUCGAUUUCAAAUCGAAUUAACCGAUAAUUAAACUUCUAAAAAAUCAUUAAUCGACCUCCGAUAGAAUUAAAUCAGUUCGAUCGAUUAAUUCGAUUUUAACUAAAAUUUAAACACUCUUAAUUUUUUUUAUAUCCCACAAAAUCAUUCAAUAAUAAUGGCAAACAAUUUUUUUGGAAAUUAAAAUUUGGGUUGCCGAGAAGGAAAGAGGUUGAGGCGAUUGUAUCAAGAACUUAAAAAGAUAUUUACCAAGUUAUUUAUACUUUGUUUUGAUGGGUACUUGUGAUACAAGUAUCGAGUCAUGGAAAGCCCUCAAUUUGCGCACUUGAAAGUGAUAAAAAAGAAAAAGAAAAAAAGUGAUAUUCUAUAAGUGAGUGUUGGAUCGAAUUAAGUGAAAAAAUUUUAAGUUAAUUGAGUUGAUGAGUCUUAUUUUAUCAUUUUUACGAAUCGAGUCGAGUAAAAUGAAAUUUGAGUCGAGUCGAAUUGAGUGGAAUUGUUCGAAUUAACUUAAAAAAAUCAAACAUAUCAAAUUAAAAUCUUGUUAUAAUAUAACUAAUUACAUGUUAUAGCGCAUAAACUUGAAACCAUAUAUAUUUGAAAACAUUUUCAAAGUAAAAUAAUAAUAAAAAAAGAUAUUUUAGUAUGAUAAACUUGAACCAUUUAUUAACUUAUUUAGGUUCUAAAAUUAUUAUUGUAGAAAAAAUUUUAAAUUAUAACUUUCUUUAUAUAUUCUUUAGAAUUUUUAUAAUUUUUUUUGAAAUUGAAAUUUUUAUAAAUAUUUUGAUUUUUUAAAAUUUAUUUUGAAUUAUUUUUAGAGAAAGAUAAAUUUGCUCAUUUUUAAAAUUGACAGAUACCAAAGAGAUAUUUAUACCAAUGUGUUAUUCAAAUUAUUCGAAUUGUAAAGUUUAACUCAAUUCAAACUCAAGUUACUUAUUCAAGUUGACUUAAAUAACUCAAAUAACUCAAUUUAAUUAACUCGAAAUUUAUUUUUUUGUCAAUUUUCUCAAAUUAAAUCAAGUUUUACACACCAUGUUAUUCUGCUGUAUAAAUUUUGUCAUCCUAUUGAAUGAUUCAACCUUCGUUUAUUAGCAGAGGUGGAAUAUAAGUGGAAUUAGAGUUAGAAAAUUUUCAUUAAACCUUUCAAAAUAUUUAAAGAUUUUAUUUAGAUUCCAUAGUUUUUUUUAGAGAAUUCUUAAUAAACUUUACAAAAAUUUUAAAAAUUUUAAUUAGACUUCUUAAGUUUUUUUAAAAUUCUCAUUUAAUUCCAAAACUUUCAAAAAAAAUUAAUUUAGAUCCAUCAAUUUUUUUUAAAAAAAUAUAUAAUUAGUUCUCCUAAAAUUUUUUCGGUUUAAUUUAUUAAUUAUCUUUUUGAAACUUCUCAAUAAACGAAGAUAUGCAUUCGUUUUGAAACCUUUUUUUUUUGGAUAAUUACGUUUAUUUUCUUUAAAUUAAGAGUUAAUUUUUUAGCUUCAUGAAUUUGUUAUCUAUUUUAUUAUUUUUCACAUGUAAUUAUUUUAUUGAGUUAUUUAACUACUAAAUCACAUCUCAUUAAAAAUAUUCUACAUAUGAAAUUCUACAUAAUUCAAUUAGCUUUUUUAGCCAUACUUUCAUCAAACCAGUUUAAAAAAAAAUAAAGGUUGAUGGUAAAAAAAGAAUUCAAAAAUACAAUUAAAAUUAUUUUGACUAAAUAUAUAAACGUUAGUACCCAAAUUUAUCAUUAACAGUGCACGUAAAAUUUUGUACCCAUUUUGUUUCACCCUCGUAAUCCCAUUUGCCAUAAUUACUGUAAACCACAUGGAUCAUUUGUAGCUAAAGUACCAUAAAUAAAGACCCAAAACAUACAAAAUUAAUUAAGAAAGAAUGUACAAAAUCUGGUAGCUAAAGUGAAGGCUAACACAGUACAGUACAGUACUUAGGUGACGCAGCAUAAGAAUUAGAAAGCUCAUUAUCACAUCGAUCUUCUUCUGUAAGAAAGUAGGCACUUCAUUAUUAAGCUAGUACCCACGAAAAUUAAAUUGUCUUAACUACUUCUAUAAUUAAGAAAUUAUAAUUUUUUUUAAAUUAUAAAAAAAGAUAAACUCCAAUAAUAAUAUGAUUAGCACGACUUGAAUCUAGACUACAUCCAAAAUGAUGAAUAACUUAAUUAUCAAAUCAACACACAAGGUUCUAAGAAAUUGUAAAUUUACGGUAUUGAAUGAUGGAUAUGGAGUUUAGAAGAAGGUGUUUUUGGAAAUUCUAAUUGUAUUUUGACUUGGUAUAAACGUAUCUUGAGGUAGAAAAUUGAUCAUGUUGGAUGUAUUUGUAUUCUUCUUGAUUACUCAUGAUAUAGGGUUCAAGCUAGUGAAAAUUACAAAGUCACGGCUCUCAAUACAUACAUUUGGAAGUUAUGGAAAGAUGUAUUGUCUUACCAAGGGUCAACAUGUGGAUUCGUUGUGACUUGACUGGGGCUCAAGCCUAUGCAUGCAAAGUCUUCCCGUCCAACGGAGGUUAGUCUUCAAGGUCCUAUAAUUACAACUACGUUUGGUAGUUUGGUUGUUUGGUUGUUUCAACGUGGUUGAUAAAUUAUUUUAUGGACUCUUUUUAUUAUAUUAUUUAUAAAUUUUUUUAAUUAUUUAAUAUAUUUUAGUAAUUUUUCUAUGUCAUUAACACAUUAUUUUAUUUUAUUUUUUUACUUUGAAAUCCUCGAAUUUAGAGUUCAGGGUUCAAGGUAAAAAAAUUAUCAAUAUUAUAUAUCAAUGACAUGGAAAAAAUUGUUAAAAUAUCAUUAAAUAAUAGAAAAAAGACCAUAGAUAAUGUAGUAGGAAAGAUUUAUAAAAUAAUUUCUCGUUAUACUCUCUCAUGUGAGUAGGGAUGAAGUUAAGGACCCUAACCUCUUAAAAUGAAAAAUUUUAUUUUAAAUCCUUUAAAAAUCAAACCCAUAAAAAAUUUCUAAUUUCAACUUUACUAAUAAGAUGUUGACUAGAAAAUACUAAUUAAUUGAUAAGAAUGUAGGUAGCUAAAGUAUCAUAAGUGAAGGCUAACAUUGUACAAUACCUUGGUGAGAGCAAAAGAAUUAGAAGCUUAAUUAUUACAUAGAUCUUCCUUGUGGAAGAAAGUAGGCACGUCAUUAUUGAGCUCAAACCAUGAAAAUUAAAUUGUCUUAACUACUUUUAUAAUUAAGAAUUCCAAAUUUACAAACUUGAAUUAUAUGAUAAUAAAUACUCCAUAAUUUUACUUUUUACAAGCAAAAAAAAAAAAAGUAGUGCUUGAAAAUUGACCAUAAUAACCUCAAUUUUAAUGCUUUUUUUUAAUUUUUUAUUGUUUUUUUAAUAAUCUUAUUAUAUGUUCAGAUCAUAUCUGUUUUUUUUAUACAAUACUUAAAACUACCCAUAAUCUCUCCUCAACUCAUAAAUAGGAGGAUAAUGUGUUUCAAUGCACUCAAACUCUUAUCCUCGAUAAUAAUACUCAUAUCAAUCGAACUAAUAUCAUAUUUAAAUAAUGAAUGGGGCAUGAUUUUGUAGGAAUUUAAGGGUAAAAAAUUACAUUUGAAUGUUUGGUAUUAAAUGGGAUAAAUUUUAUGGCAUGCAGGUGACAUCAUCUUGGUUUAUUGUCCCACCUAACAUAUUCUUUUUUAAUAAUUUUGGAAUUAAUCUUUUCAAUUUCACUAUCAAAUUAUUACUCUUACGGAAAUUAAGCCAUUUCCCCCCCCCCAAAAAAUAUAUCUUUUUUAAAUUUACUUUUUGGAAAAGAAAUGUAUAAAUAUUGAUUGUUUUUUAAGUAAAAAAAAAGUUGAUAGAAUAGUGGUAAGCUUUGAAUUGUAAUUGAAAUUCAACCUGUAUUCGAUUUUUAAAUUUGUAAUUUUUUUAUUUUUUAUUUAAAAAUAAUAUAAAAAGAUAAAAUGUCAUCAUAAUAAUAGAAAUUUUAACUUAAAAGAAACGAGACAUUUUAUUAAUUUUAUAAUUGAAUUGAUGAUUCGAUUAAAAGUGAUAUCAAUUCAGUAAAAUACUUAAACCCUGAUACAGAUAUAUAUCAAUUAUUCAAUUGAAUUAAUAUUUUUAAAUUAUUUUAUUAGUGUAAAUCAAGUAAUGAGUUGUGAUUUUAUGAUUGAGAAAUAGUAUGAAUGAUAGAUGAUAAGAUCUAAAAUUGAUUGGUAUUUUAUUGCAAUUAUGAAUGAUGUAUGGUAGCCAAAACAUUGGGACCCUUUGUUAUUGUUGUGUGGUAGCAUCUUUAACUAUGGGACAACCACCCACAUGGACCGUCAUCCCCCUUCAUUAUUAUUUAAUUAACAUUACUUUUAACUUUCAUAUCACAUUUUUAUGGCCUCUCAUACAAAUUUGAAUUUUACUCUCUUGAGAAAACGAGGUUAAUGGUUAAGGGUUUAUAAUUUACUGUUUCAUCUGGUUUGAAAAGUUUGAGAUGUAAUUAACUUGUUAAAGAAAUAAAAUUGAAAGGUAAAAUAGGGGAUCUUUGGGGUGAAGGACCGAAUUAAAUCUAUAUAAGACUAUAUUUCUUCUAUUAGACAUUGAUUAUAAUAGGGUUGUUUAACACUUAAAAUGGGUGUAGUCGAAAACCUCUUGUAUUGUUGUUUUUCAAUAUUAGUGAAUUUCUCUUCCUCUGCCCGUGAUUUUUCCCGAUAAGGGCUUUCCAUGUAAAAGUUAUGUGUUAUUAUUUUUCUUUAUUAUUGCUUUGCGAUAAUUCCUACUACCAUUGUUGACGUAUAAUAUAACAAUUUCAAUUUUAACAACGUGCCAUUAAAUAUAUUAAGAUUUCACAAAUACAUAAGUAUAGUCUAUAAUACAAACAUAAAUAUGUUCAAUACAAAACAAAUUGAAAAUCGGAAUAGAUUUGUGAUUUACAUCAAAUUAAAUUUGGACAGGAGUCAUACAUAAAUAAACUUAAAUCCAAAAUAAUUUGAGGGAGAAUCGAGCUAUUUACACAUGAUCGGCUCAAAAUUGAGUGUUCAAAAUCUUAAGUCAAUCAAAACUUCGUUGAAGGUAUAUAAAAUCACAAUUUUUUUGAUGUUUUCGUAAAAUAGUAAUAAUUAUGUCAAGCAUGAUAAAAAUAUCAUGGAAGCCCUUGUAUUAGGACUUGAAAUUUAUUUUGCUCCCACUACUCAAAAGUCUCUAAUAAAAAUUACAUUCAUUUUUAUUGCUAAAAACUUAAAAUUUUAAAACCUUAAAAUUUCGACAAAUCAUACACUUUUAAUCCAUCAAAUAUAAUCCUAUAAUCACUCCAACUUUCACAUACACAAACAAGAAAUUGUUAAUUUCAAGCAAACAUCAAAAUCCGGACUCGUGCAAGUACUUUCUUUUAAAAUUCACUCUUUUUCUACAUUAACCAAGAACAAAUUAACAUAUACAAACAAUAUUGAAUAAGGUCCAAAACAGUGGUGGGUAAAGCACUAGGCAGUGUGCUGCAACAUGGGCAUUGGCAAAGGGGACCAGUCGGAGCCGCCAACUCGGAAAAUAUAUGCACUACCCACUGUCUCGAUGCAGUAAUUGCUGUGAUUAGUGGGUUCCAUUUAUCUCCAAAAUAUUAUUAUUUUUUUAAUAUUAAUUUCAUUAUACGUUUUUACAAUGUUUAAAAUUAUUUAUAGUCAUUCUUUAACCCUUAAAUAAAAAGAUAAUGUGCUUUAAUACACUUGAAUCUAUAUAUUUCCGCACUGACAACAAUACUUAUGUCAAUCGAGUUAAAACUCGUUCAACUAUUAUUGCUUUUUAUUAACUCAAAUACAAGUGUUGAUCACUUUAUCUAAAUAUAAAUAUUUAUUAAUUUAGGUGUUUAAAAGGUGAUAUUUCCCUAUCAUAUUUAAAAUAUGAAGUGGAUGGUGAUGGAAAUAGAUAGCCCAGAUUCCCACUAUCAUCAACCAGUGCCUCUGUUGACUUACACUUCGCUUUUAAGUAAACGCUUCUUGAAAAUUGCUUUCAAGGACCAGAUUAUAUUAUUUACUCAGUGUGUAUCAAUUUAUGUAUUUAUAUGUUACAAAAUUAUGUACCUUGUAAAUCCUAGCUACUCCUUUUUAUUAGGUUUUAUGGUUAAAUUAUCCUCAGUGUCACUAAAUUUACUAUUUAUGUUUUGGUUACUUAAUUUUAAAAUAUUAGAAAUUUUUUUUACUUAUGUUAUUGGUCUGUUAAAUUCGUUAUUGUAUGACCUUCUAUGUUCGCACUAAUUGAAAGCUUUCAUUCUCUCUUCUUUUUUGCAAUUUAAUUUUUUUUAUAAAAUAGUUUUGAACGUUAUUGAUUUACAAAUCAAAAUUUAAACAACUUUCUCCAAUCUUAGAUAUAAAUCGUCAGAUCGACUUGAAUCUUCUACUCUUCGAUGGGUACUAAUUUACCUCACCUAUUAUUGAAUCCUAACUUAAAACUCACUAGCAAUAUUUUUUACAUAAAAAAAUUAAUAAUUCAACUAUGUAAAUAAUUUUUUUGAAUAAUUUAGCGAUUUAAUGAGAAUUUUCAAACUUUUCAAUAUUUAUUUUACAAUUUUUAAAAUUAAAUGAAAAGUAAUAAACUUAGGUAACAAAAACUUUCACAAAUAUAAAAGAAAUAGAUGGAAGGAACACUGUUUGGUGGGCAAACAAAACUGUAGAGACAGAAUUUUUUUUAAAUUUAAUGCUUUAUAAUUUAUAAAAUCUUAAAUUAAUAAUAAUAAAACUAUAAUUUGAUUCCUUCAAAAUAAUAAAAAUUUAAUUUAAUAUUUUAAAAUUUAUUAAAAUAUAAAUUAUUAAAAUAAAAAAAUUAUAUUUUUAUUAUCGUAAAAAUAUAUUAUUUAAUUUCAACCCAAAAUUUUUUUUUUACUCAAUCACUGGUUUUAUUCAUUUUUAAAGUGUUUUUUUUUUCAGACAAUUCAAGGACCUGGAAAACUGACCACAUGAUUAAGGCAAGUAUCUUCACAGAGAGCUUUGUUGGUUUCAAGAAAAAAACUCACCUAUUUCAGAUUUAAAAAAGGGGAUAAGCUUCAGGGAAUCCAGAAUCCUGUGGGAAUUAGCGAACCGACAAAUUUGUUAAAAAAAUAGGAAAAUUUUGGAACAAAUCAACAGUUCUUAUUGUAUUUUCUUUUUUGUCUGAAAGAUUUCUUUUUUACCGUUUUAAUUAAAUUUUAAUUUUCGAUUGAGUUUUAAUUUGAUCGGCAUAAAUAUUAUUGUCAAUAUAGGAGGAUAUAAGUUUAAGUGCAUUAAAGCAUAUCGUCCUCUUAUUUAUAUGUUGGAAAAUAGGCUAUAAAUAGUUCUAGACAUUAUGUAAAAAAAAAAGACCAGAACCUAUAAUAAAAUUAUUCUAAAAAAAUAAAAAUCAAAUUUUAGUUUUUGUUCAAUUUUCGUAUUUUACUAAUCUCGUCAUAUAUGUGACAUGAUUUUUCGGUAAAUCAUGUGUAAAUUAUUUACUUGACAUUUUAUUAAGUUAAAAACUAACAAACAAAUUUAAAUUAUUUCCAUUUAGAUUAAGAAAAUAAUUCACUUGAUAAAAGAGUUUAUUAUUUCUCCCAAUAAAUCUAUUUUUUUUUAAAUCUAGAUGGAAAUAAGUUUAUUUUUAAACUAAGUCAUAUCUUAAAUUUACAUAUGACUUAACGGUAAAUUGAGUCACGUAGAUAAUGAGAUUAGAGACAUGUGAAAAAUGAACCAAAAUUGAAAUCUGAUGUAUAAAAAUACACUCAAUUAAAGUUCGUAUAUAAUAUUACAAAUUGUAUCAAAAUUAAUGUAUAAUUUUAAAAUUUAUGUCGUUCAUUUUAUUUAUAAAAUUUGGAUAUUAAACUUUGGAGAUAACAAAUCCUAUAUCACUCGACCCUACAAGUAUUGAUACUGUGUUCGUUAUAUUGAAUAUUCGCGUGAUCCUCUCUUUUUAUCCAUUUUCUUUGCAUAUCGAACCAUUAUAAAUAUUAAAUUGAGUACUUAACUCAAUAGUUAAUUCAAUUCUAACAAAGUAAUUAACCGAAAAAAUAGUUAAAAUAUGCCAUAAUACUCUUAAUAAAUUUAGAAUUCAGACUUUUUAUUUUUCAGAUUUUAAAAUUUUAAGUUCAAUUAUUGUUUUGUUAAAUUCAAAUUAAUUACAACUUUGUUACAGUGCUACCAAAUGAAUCUUUUUUUUCUCCUUUAAAAAUGUCAAACCGAUAAAUUUAACAAUAAAAAUUCAACAAGGUUAAUAAUUGAAUCUAAAUUUUAGGUUCAGAAAAAUAAAGAGAAUUAAAUAUCUAAAAAUAAAAAUAUAAAAAAAAAUAAAUUUCAAAUUUGCUAAAAAUACAAAAAACCCAUAUCAUAUUUUAGCUUAAAAAAAAAACUCGAAAACACAAAAUUUUGACAAACUUGUUGAAGGGGUGAGAAAAAUAAUUUAGUGUACCAAGAUGAAAAUAGACCUGUUAUAAAUUGCUGGGGUAAGAUUAAAUAGAAUCACGGUUCUCAUGUUAUAUAUUCAUAUCCAUUUCAUUUAUUAUGAAAAUUAUAAGUCAAAAAUACCCAAAAUAGAGGGCAGUAAAUCUUAAAUUCUUUUUUUCUUUAUUGCCAGCUAGAGUUAAAUAAAAUGAUAAAAUUGGGUCCACUGUAUGCAAAUGUAAUAAUUUCUUCAAAAAUAUGGAAGAAACUCUGCUCAGUGUUUACUGACCCUUGUCCCCAAUUCUUACAAGUUAAAUGCUUGGAAGGUAAAUGAGGAAAAAGAAAAAAAACAUUUAUUCCACAUUACCUAAAAAUUUGGAAGGUGGAUGAUAUAUUAUGAGUGUAGUCAAAGAAAAAUUGAAUAUCGAUUUGAAUUAUUGUUCGAUUUGAUAUUGUAGAAUAACUGGAAUUUUAUUUCAAAAUCGGUUCAAACGGAAGAGAAAGAAUUGUAUGAAAUAAGGGCGUUAAGUUAUUCUUUAUCCUUUUUUUAAUUCGAUAAUUUUUUAAUUGAAACCCUAAAAUUAUAUUUGAAUCUCUUUUUUUUAUUUUCUGUUUAGGGUAAAAGAUUUACCAAAAUUAUAUAUCAAUGGCAUGAAAAAAUUUAUUGAAUUUUCAUUAAAUGAUUAAAAAAUGGUAUAGAAUAACAUGGUGUCAUGUUUCAUACAAUCUUUUCUCUAAACUAAAUCGUUAUUGCUUUUAAUUUGAAAGUAACAAUAUUUCAUAAUUAAAGUUUUUAUAUAUAUUUAUUAAUUCAACCUUAAAAUUACCAUUGAGUAUAAAAAUGUAAAAUAAAAAAAGUAGAUGGAAAAUGGUCAAAGGUUUCAUCUAUUUUCCUCUUUCUUCAAGUUAAAUUCAAACUUAUAGUCUCAAGUGUUUCUAGUUGAGAUUGAAACAAGUUACUUAUUUUCAAUAAAUAUUAUAUUAUAUUGUUUUUAAUUUUAAUUUUAAGUUUAAAAUUAUAUUAAUUAUGAUAAAUUAUUUUAAUAUUUAUAUAAUAAAUCAAUUUCUCUUUAUCAACAAGUGUUAAGUACGGUAGUCAUAAAUCUCGAAAGAAACAUUAAAAAUAAAUUUUUUUAAUAUUUCUAUAUAAAUAAUCAAAGGAGGCAUUAUGUUCAUGACUUAGUUCCAAAUAAUUGAAAUUUAUCCCAUGAUUAGAAGAAAAAUUAACUUACAAGUUAUAAUUAAUUAUGGGAGGAAUCACUUUACAUGUCAUUUUUCCACACUCAAUUUUUUCAUGACAAGUGAAAAGGAAGAAAAAAUUUAUGGAAUUUCCACUUUCUAUUUCUAUUGAUCUCAACUAUAAAGUUACAUUCUAUUAUCAAUGAAGAUAUUGGAGGACUAGUUGGUAGUGAUUUGGUACUUAUGCCUAUUUCCAAAAUUAAAAUUUUGCACAAUUCCAACUCGAUUUUAUUUUAAAUUUUAAUACUUGAAUAUAAUUUAGAAGAUAUUAAAAAAAAUCCAAUUUUCAAAAUGUUUUUUUAAACAAUACUUAAGAUUACUUAUAAUUCUUUUUAACCAUUAAAUAGAAUGAUAAACAUGCUUCAGCGUGCUUGACCCACGCUCUCCUACACUAGUAAUAAGACUGAUGCCACCAGGGGCGAAGCUAGAAAAAAGUUUUAGGGGUAUCGAAAUUAAAUUGUAAUUUUUACGAUAGUAAAAUUACAAAUUUACUAUUUUAAUAGCCUAUAUCUUUAUAAUCUUUAAAAGAUUGAAUAAAUUUUUUUUAUCAUUUUUGGGGUCAAAUUACAAGCUUAUCUUCACUAAUUUAAAAUUUUAAAAAAUUUAAAUAGCCUAAAUGAAAAAAUUUUCAUUAUAGGAUGUCACCUCAAAAUGUUAUUUAAUUUCUAAAAAAUUAAAUAAAAUGCAUAUCUAACUAAAACAUAAAUGAAUUAUUAUAAAUUUAAUAAAAGUUCAUAAUAUUGUAAUUAAAAUAUAGAAAAUAUUUAUAUAAAAAAACAUUUUAAUAAGUUUAUCAAAAACUUAAUCUUAGUCCAAACUUCAAAAUUUUAAUUAAAAAAUAAUAUUUAGAAAAAAAAAACCAUUCUUAUAAUAAUCGUUGUACUCAUGAUGUAAGAUCGAAUUGUAAGAAUUGUUUGUUAACAAUAUUCUCAAAACUCAAAUUGAUUCUAAUCUAUUUAAUCAGUUCAUCUGAUUUGAUCAAUUUUUAUUUAAUUUAAAUUAAUUUUUUUUAAUUAAUAUCCUUAAUCAAUUUUUAAUUUAAUCGAUUCGAUUUAAUGAUAUGUUUCGUGAAUGAUUUUCUUUUGUCGGUAAUGUGUGAGACGUAAAAAAAAAUUGCAUGGGUCAAAACUAGGUUCAAACCAGAUGUGUAAGUGGUCAAAAACCGUCAAAAGCUUUGAACAUGUCGUCGUCCUCUUGCAGCACACUAGUAAGGGCUUUCAGUUCUCACGCGUGACUCUCAGGACACUCAAUACCAACCACCCCAUCAGUCACGCUCUAAAAAACACUCCCAACAAAACACAUUUGCUGUUUUCUGCCGCUGCUCUGCGCCCAUAUUUAAACACAUCUCAGUUAUCUCCUUGGAUCCUCCAUAAUGCUCUGCGCCCAUAUACAUUGUGGGUCAUAAAUAUCUAAGUUUGAAACCCUAAUGUGUAAUUAAAAUAUGAGUCUCCUCAAGCUUAACCUUAAAUUUUAACUAUGUGCGGUAAAUUUUGAUUAUCCGUAUUCGAAAUUCAUAAUUCGUAACUAAAAUAUGUAUAUCUCUUCGAGCUUCAUUUUGAGCUGUAAUUACAUAUGAUAAAAUUUUAAUGUUAGAUUCAUUAUGUAUAAUUAGUAUUUACAGCACCAACUGAUGCUAUAUGGGAAUUUUAGUUCAAUUAAUUAAUAUACUUAAAUAUAAUUAUUAAAAAAAAGUGGAAAUAUAGUUUUUAAGUUAUCAUUCACAAUAAAAAUGUCCCCACCAUAACGCUCUCUACACUUCUUCUUAAUCAGCUCUUUCUCUCUCACUCUGUUGCGCAUUCAUUCAUUUCAUGUCUCUCUAAUGGCAGAACACCAUCUUUGUCACUCAAAACCCCUCCCUCUUCACCUCUUUCAAAUUCAAAUAUAUUCACCCCAAAAUCUCUUCCUUUUCCUAAACCCUUAAACUCAAUCUCCUCCACCAUUACCCCCCACCCCCCAAAAAAAAUGCUCUUCCAUUUCCUCUCUUUUCUCUUCUUCUUCUUCUUCAUCACUCUCCCUUCACUUUCCCUGUCUCUCAACCAAGAAGGUCUCUACCUUCUCCAACUCAAAUCCUCACUUUCCGACCCAGACUCCGCUCUUUCUUCAUGGAACCCUCGCCACCCCACUCCAUGCAACUGGCGCGGUGUUUCUUGCGACGCCGCCACCGCUUCCGUCACUUCCCUUGACCUCUCCAACGCUAACCUCGCCGGUCCUUUCCCUUCCUUCCUUUGUCGCCUCCAAAACCUUUCCUACAUUAGCUUCUAUUUCAACAAUAUCAAUUCCACCAUACCCGACAUUUCCACGUGUCGAAAUCUCGUCCACCUUGAUCUCUCUCAGAACCUUCUUACCGGCGAGCUUCCUCACACUUUGGCCGACCUCCCUAAUCUUAAAUACCUCGAUUUGACGGGUAAUAAUAUCUCCGGUGAUUUUCCGUCGUCGUUUGGCCGGUUUCAGAAGCUCGAGGUUUUGUCCCUCGUUUACAAUCUGCUAGACGGGACUAUCCCUGCUUUUUUGGGGAACAUUAGUACGCUUAAAAUGUUGAAUUUGUCCUACAACCCGUUUAGUCCGGGUCGGAUCCCGCCUGAGCUUGGGAACUUGACCAACUUGGAGAUUUUGUGGCUCACAGAGUGUAAUUUAGUCCGCGAGAUACCUGACUCACUGGGGCAACUCAAGAAACUUGCUGAUUUAGACCUUGCACUUAACCAUUUGGUCGGGAAUAUACCAAGUUCGCUCACGGAGUUGGUCAGUGUAGUUCAGAUUGAGCUCUACAACAACUCGUUGACGGGCGAGUUACCCCGUGGGUUCUCGAAUUUAACCAACCUGAGACUCCUCGACGUGUCGAUGAACCGGUUAACUGGGAAGAUUCCGGAUGAGCUAACUCGGCUCCCACUUGAAAGUCUCAACCUUUACUCCAACAACUUGGAAGGAACAUUGCCACCGAGUAUCGCCGACUCACCAGCUCUGUACGAACUCAGAAUCUUUCAGAACCGACUCACCGGUGAGUUACCUCAAAAUCUCGGCAAAAACUCACCGCUCAGAUGGUUCGAUGUGUCCAGCAACCAAUUCACCGGCCCAAUCCCACCCAGCUUAUGCGAGAAAGGGAAGCUAGAAGAGAUGUUAAUGAUAUACAACUCGUUUUCAGGUCAAAUACCGUCGAGUUUAGCCAACUGCAGGAGCCUGAAUCGGAUCCGACUCGGUUACAACAAAUUAUCCGGCGAAAUACCCACCGGAUUUUGGGGUCUCCCCCAUGUUUAUUUACUUGAUCUCGUUAACAACUCGUUCUCUGGACCAAUUGGGAAAUCAAUUGCAAAUGCUGCAAAUUUGUCCCUUUUGAUUAUAUCUAGAAACGAGUUCAAUGGUUUCUUGCCUGAAGAACUCGGUUUAGUUAAUAACUUAGCUAAACUCUCUGCUAGUGACAACAAGUUCAAUGGGGCAUUGCCUAAAAGUAUAGUAAACCUUGAUGGAUUAGGGAUCCUUGAUCUUCAUGGGAAUGAAUUAGAAGGUGAAUUACCUAAUGGGAUCGAUUCGUUGAAGAAAUUAAACGAGCUGAACUUAGCUAACAACAAGUUUUCUGGGAAAAUCCCAGAUGGAAUCGGUAGCUUAUCGGUGUUGAAUUAUCUCGACUUGUCCGAUAAUCAGUUAACCGGAAGAAUCCCACUCGCUUUGCAGAGUUUGAAGCUUAAUCAGCUUAACCUCUCGAAUAAUUUGUUAUCUGGUGAGUUACCGCCUUUGUUCGAUAAAGACAUGUACAAAAACAGCUUCUUGGGGAACCCUGGUUUAUGUGGGAAUUAUAGUGGUUCGUGUGGUGGUAAGGAUGAAGAGAAGCAUAAAGGUUAUGUUUGGUUACUUAGAUCCAUUUUUAUACUAGCUGGUUUGGUGUUUGUUGUUGGUGUGGUUUGGUUUUACUUUAAAUAUAGGAAUUAUCAGAAAGCUAAGGCCAUUGAUAAGUCUAAAUGGACUUUAAUGUCAUUCCAUAAAUUGGGUUUUAGUGAAUAUGAGAUAUUGGAUUGUCUUGAUGAAGAUAAUGUGAUAGGGAGAGGAUCUUCGGGUAAAGUUUACAAGGUCGUGCUUAGUAACGGUGAGGCUGUUGCCGUGAAGAAGCUUUGGGGUUGUUUGAAAAAGGGUUGCGACAGUGUAGAUCUUGAGAAAGGUCAUGCUGAGUCACAGGUUCAGGACGACGGGUUUCAAGCUGAGGUUGAGACAUUAGGGAAGAUUAGGCACAAGAAUAUUGUUAAGUUAUGGUGUUCUUGUACUACCCGGGAUUGCAAGCUUUUGGUGUAUGAGUACAUGCCGAAUGGUAGCUUGGGUGAUUUGUUGCACAGCUGCAAAAGUGGUUCACUCGGUUGGCCGACGAGGUACAAGAUUAUCGUGGAUGCAGCCGAGGGACUUUCGUAUUUGCAUCAUGAUUGUGUGCCUCCGAUUGUGCAUAGAGAUGUCAAGUCCAAUAAUAUCUUAUUGGAUGGUGACUUUGGCGCUAGAGUGGCGGAUUUCGGAGUUGCCAAGGUGGUUGAUGCUGCUGGAAAGGUCGCUAAGUCUAUGUCUGUCAUUGCCGGAUCUUGUGGUUACAUUGCUCCAGGUUUGUUGAUUAUCUUUAUUAUCAAUCUAGUAAUUGAAAACGUUAAUGUUUGCAAUGUCUUAUGGAAACUUUUGGUGCAGAGUAUGCGUAUACGCUUCGGGUGAACGAGAAGAGUGACAUAUACAGUUUUGGAGUAGUAAUACUUGAGUUAGUCACAGGCAGACUCCCAAUUGACCCGGAGUUUGGCGAGAAGGACCUCGUAAAGUGGGUCUGCACCACUCUAGAUCAAAAAGGAGUGGACUAUGUCCUCGAUUCCAAACUCAAUCCAUGUUUCAAAGAGGAAAUGUGUAAGGUCCUCAACAUCGGUCUCCUUUGUACAAGUCCACUCCCGAUCAACCGACCGUCGAUGAGAAGGGUGGUUAAGUUUCUGCAAGAAGCCGGUGCCGAGAACCAGCUGAAGGCUGCCAAAAAGGACGGGAAAUUAACUCCUUAUUACUACGAAGACGGCUCGGAUCAAGGAAGUGUAGCUUGACAAAAAAAUAUUUUUUCACCCCCAUAGCUUGUUGCAAAAACAAGGUCACAAAGUGAGACACACAGCCACUAAUUGUUUUUGCUGUCAAGUUUUUGCCUUUCAUUGUUACCCUACUUGAUGUUUUGCUUUUACAGGCUUGGUUUAGUGGGGAAGAAAAGAGAGUUGGGGAUGAAAUUUUCACAGUGAAAAAGAUAGAUUCAUUAAGGAGUUAAUGGACCAAACUGUAAAUUUUAUUAACAAUUAAGGUCUUGAAAAUGAUUUUCAAUUCCCACACUAAUGAAAGUGAUGCUGCAGAUUUAUUAUGCCCACCAACUGCCUUACUGCACUGUGUCCUAGUCUAAACCCAAAUUCUAUCUUUUUUGGGGUCUAAUUCUACUAUUAAUCUUUGUACUCUACUUAAGUUGUGAAUUUGAUCUUUGUACUUUAAUUUAAUCAAUUGUAGUUUAUAUAUUUUUCGAAUUUAUAUUUUUGUACUUUUCGGAUUUUCGAAUUUCAAAAUUUCUUUCUUGUCACAAAAAGACAACAGUUAUCUACCAUAAGCAGAGUUUCACCCAUUAUCUAUCAUUGCCUGCUAAAACUGGUUAGACAGGUCUCAGCUAUGAGCUAUGAGAUUUUACAGUGUUGUAUCUAUUUUAUUCCUUGGUUCAUCAAGUCACUCAAAUGUCAUCCAUUGAUGAAGUAGUUAGGUAUGGUGGGUUGCCAUUUAUUAGAAUGGAGCUCUUGGAUUCUGCAAGCUUUAUUAUUGCACUACUUGUUAGAGACAUAAAAUGAAAUCCAUACAUCAAUUUGGAAAGUGACAUUGGACAACACCCAUAGUUCAGAUCAAGGCCACAGAGUUGCUUAGGUUGUCAUUUUGCAUGCCUCGUUUGUUUCUAUCGCUUUAAAACCCAAAUUUCACACAAUACUGCAAACAGUAAACCAAUGCCUUCAAUGUCUAUUCUUCUGUCAAUCUACUUUUUUGGUAGAAAUCUUGAUAAUUUUUUAAAAUAAUGUUAGUGCAGCAACUCUUGCGGUAGUUCUAAUGUAUUUAAUGUUGCCAAGGUAUUAAUUAUUUUAUAUGUCAUGUUUAAUAAAUAAUUUUAAAAAAAUAAAAAGUUAAUAAAAAUUGUAAAAAAUUUGAAUUACACAUGAAAAGGGGUGAAUCUAGAAUUCUUUUAGGAGAAUGAAAUUAAAUAAUAGAUUUUUGAGAGAUCAAAACAUAAUUUUAUAAUGUAUUAACUUAUUAUUUUCAUCAUUUUAAAAGAUAUUAAACAUAAUUUUCUUCAUUUUGAGGGCAAAGUGUAAUUAUACCAUAAAUUUAAAAUUAAUUUAUUCAUCUUAUAAGGGAUUUAAAUAGUAAUUUUCUAUUUUGGGGUCAAUGCCUCUGCCUACCCCUCAAAUUCUCCCCUUGCAUGUGGAUCAACAUAAGAGCUGCCAUGUUAUUUAAUGUUUUGGGCAGUAUUUUUGUUUAGAAAAGCAACAGUUCAACUCUUUUUUUUUAAAAGGCUGAUAGUCAAAUUUGAAUUUUUUAAAAGAUUGAAGAUCAAAAUUAAUUAAAAAAAGAAUAAGGUCAAUUUGAUAAAAGGUGUAAACGCUAAAGGCUAAAUUUAUCUUUAUGUUGUUUUUUUAUCCUUUAUACUCAUUUUAUGAACAUUAAUCCUUUUAAGAUUCUCUUUUAACAAAGUUAUUUUCAAAGUUUCUCUGCCUUAACAGUACACCCGAUAAUACCAUCUGGAAGAUUCAAAUUUUGAAUGGGUGAUAAACCAAAAAUUCCAAUAUAAUGGGCCACUAAAUAAUACACUUAAUAAACUAGCUUUGUUUGUUUGCUUUACAGAGUUAGGCCAAGCUUUCCUUUCAAACAUAAUUUAGAAAGCUGUGCAUGUUCUCCUGCCUACCCAACAAACUGCUGGAUUUGAUUGAAACUUUGGGUCUUCUUCUUCUUCUCCUCUUCCUCUUCUUGUGUGUCAAUUUACGACGAGGUAAAUUCAGCAUUGAAAUAUCAACUUUAUUUUUAUUGCAAUAGACGGACCACACCAUGCCAAAAAAUUCCCACAGCUAAAACAAAUUUUGAUGUAAUUUGCAACACUAAAUUGAUGCUACAUGUAGUACUAGUUUGGACCAUAUCUAUCAGCAUCCAUUUUUGCUGCCUAUCCUUUAUUUUUUCACCCAUAUAUUGUGGAUUUGAGGGUAAAUAAAACACUAAUGAAACACAUUGAAUUGUUCCAAAAUCUAUGGGAAAUUUACCAUCUUUCCCUCUUGAUGGGUAUCGAGGGUAAAAUUUUAGUAUUAAUUUAUGCUGUAUGUUGUGGAUUUAGUCUCUUACUCUAUUUGGUUGUUUUCGGUGUUUGUAUUUUAAGAAUUUAAAAUUUCGAAGCUCAUUAAGUUUUGUUAUUUUCCAAAAUUUGAUGAGACAGACAUAUUAUCAUAUAUGUAAUGUUAUGUUAGUUUAUUUUUUUCUAUAUAUUACUCACGAAAAAGUCAGUUUAUGGAUUUAACAGUUGUGAUUUGUAUCAAGAUUGAAAUUUCGAAAUUCGAAAAGUAUAGAGACUAAAAUUUAUCAAUUUUAAAAGUAUUAAGCCUAAAAUAAAUCAAAUUAAAGAAUAAGGACUAAAUCUAAAAUUUACACAAAACAUAAAGAUUAAUAGUAGAAUUUGAUCUAGUUCUCAAACUAUUAUGGAUGUUUAGGCCUCUCUCUUUUAUAAUAAAUAAAAUGGUUUGUUGGUGAGACUCGAACUCUAAUACUUCAUACUUGUUACAAUAUUAAUGAUGAGACUCAAACUCUAAAUUUCAUUCUCAUAAUAAAGUAUUAACAUUUCUUAACGAAGAAUCAAGUUCGAAAACUGAAGUUAGAAUUAAAAGCAAAGCCCACUUAUGAAGCCCAUAUGAGUGGACUAAGUCCAUUAUAUGUUAUAGGACACUUAUCAACCUCUAACCAUGUUUAUGAAGUCUAAAAAUUUCACUGACAAUGUACUAAAUAUUUUCCCGUAUAUAAAACUUCAAACAAAUUAAAAUUUAACUAACAUAAAAGAAAUUUACAUUGAGAAUGCUACAAAUAAAUGUUGGAUAUAGUGACAAGACAUAUUCCAUAACUAAAACGAAAAUUCAAAUCUUGAAAAUAAUAUUAUUUUAUAGAAUAUAAAAUAGAUAUAAAAGAUAUAUUGAUUAAAAAAACAUAUAAAUUUCUUAAUAAUUAAAUUUUGCAUAAUGUGAUCUUAAAUUAUGUUUCUAAAGAAUAAUUUAAAGAAUAUAUUAAUAAAUUUUCAUAAAUAAACUUAAUAAAACAAAAUUACAUGAAAAACUAUAGAUGUAAUUACGUGAAUAAAUUUAUUUUAAGGGAGCAAGAUUAAAUUAUAUUUUUUAGGGGAGGUUAAAGUAAUAACAUAUUAUCUCAUAAUUUUUAAAUGGAUUAAAAAGAAAUUUUAUUAUUUGGGGGUUCUAAGGCCCUUGCUUGCUCUUUCGAUGUCGUCCUUGAUUGUUAAUUUUUUUUGUUAAAUUUAUCGGUGUGACAUUUUGAAAUAAGGAAAAUACGCACUUGAUAACAAUGUAAUUAAAAAAUAUUAUAAUAAAUCUGAAUUGAAUAAAAUAAUUUUAAUAAUAUUAACAGUUAGAUCUGAAUUUUAAAAUCUGAAAAAUAAAGAGACUAAAUUCUAAAUUUUAAUAGGGUGGACUACCAAGGCGAAACUUGAGGGUAAGUAGAGCUGCCUCCCCCCAAAACUGAAAAUUAUCCCUUUAGUCCCUUGAGUAUUUAUGAUGUUUUAAAUUAAUUUAAUAGUAAAAUUAUAUUUCUACCCUUCUUAAAAUUUAAAAUUAAAUUAUGUCUUUUCCAAAAACAAAAUGUUUAUAGCCUAAUCCUUUAAAAAUUAUAAAAUUUUAUAUUUAUACAAUAACUGAAAUUACAUUUUUAACUCACUCAAAAAUUUAUAAUUCAAAUUUAACCCUUCCAAAGAAAAAUCUCAACUCUCCCUGCCUUAUAACACCCUAAUAUGAUCCAAUAUCCCUAAUCCGAAAGGACCUCAACAAUCAAACUACUACAACAAAUACAAACUUCAAUUUAGACUCAAGCUUUUUCAAUCAUAUCCCAAAAAAUUUAUAUAUUAAAAAUAAUAUAAAAAAUGGAAGAAAUAAAUUCCUUAGCCAAACAUGAAGAAAUAAAGAAAAAAAAAAGCUUCUUUGAGCUUGUUGCAGAAGUGGGUGAAAUGAACACCAUUAUUAAGGGAUAAAAACAACUAUAAUAAUAAGACCACCACCACAACAACAAGAAAUAGAGAGAUGACAUGCUGCAAUAACUCCGCCACCGGCGAGUUCAAAAUCCGUUGUGGCAUCUCAACCAUUGCUUGCCCUUCAUAUGGGCAUAACAUAUGCUCCCAAGAUGAGGGAAUACAUGACUAUUUGCCGGGGUUACCAUCGGGGGUGACAAGGCAAAGCCAAAUUCUACAAUCUAUACCAUUUAGAGGCAAAGGCAGUAUCUGAUAACUACAACCUUCUUCAUCCUUUGAUUGAUGAGUUUGUUCAAACUCUAGAAGGUGAAAAUGGGAUUUGCUGUACUCAUCCUCAGAGACUUCCAGGUAUUUUCAUGCUUUUAUUUUACUACCAUACCUAUAGAUUCAGCUUUUACAGCUACUGGCUGGUCGUCUCAAGGGAUUUAAUCAAAAAUUUUAAAGAUUUAAUGAAAAUUUUCAAAAAAAAUUAAGGGUAUAAUGAAAAGUUUUAAAAUUUUUGAGGGGGUCCAUCUCCUUUUAUAAGGUUUCCACAAAUAAGAAGGAUAAAAUAAAGUUGAGGCUUUUAGAAAUUUGGAAUUUUCAAUUUCAAAUUCCACUCUUGUAAAUCUUAUAUGAUUUUUGUUUUAAUUUUAUUCUGGUUUAAAUUUUAUCAAGUAUGAAUCUAUCUAGAUUUAUUUUAAUUUAAUUAUAGAUAUAUUCUAAUUAUCAUUUCGAUUGUAGUUUAUAAUAGUUAAUUUUAUUUAUAUUUAUGUGAAUGUAUGCUUAUAUUUGCAAUUGUAUUUGUAUCCUCAAAAACUUUCUACUAUGAUAAAAUGUGAUUUUUAUUUUAUUUUAAUUUAGUAUAAUUUAAUUAUUCGUAAAUUCAAAUUAAUAUGAAUGUGAACUACUAUGGUUAAAAUCCACAUUAUCAACGAUCGAUUAAGUCACAACUUAAUUUGGAUGAGCAUUGUUAUCAAUGCAGGAGGACAUAGGUUUGAUGCGCUGAAGUGCAUUAUUUUCUUAUUUAGAGGUUGUGGAGGGGCUAUGAGUAGUUCUAAACAUUAUGCUUAAAAGAGCAAAUAUGAUCAGAAUCUAAAUGAUGUUGGAAAAUAUGGACAUCACAUAUAUAAUAAAGGUAAUUACAUGUGUUGUGUUAUUAUUUACUAUCAUGAUAGGUUAGCCCAAAUUAAAAGUAGUCUAAUUUGAUUAGAAUUUUAUUGGGCUUUAAUUAUUAAAUAAAGUAUAGGUUAAAUAUAUGUAGAUACUUUAGUAAUUGAGUUCUAAUUGGGUCAAAUAUCAUGGAUUCAGGUACGUUUCCGUAUCUAGUUUUGUUCUUAAUUUAUUCUUGAUGAUUUGACAUGAUAGAUCUUGAUUUAUUAAGUUUUAUUUUAGAUUUAUUUUACAAAUCUAACAAAUGAGCCUUAGCGGUGAAAGUAUGAUUGAGGCCUAUAUACUAGAAUUCAUAUUGUAUUUUUUUCUAUUAAAAAAAUGGAUAAAGUAGUUUAUAUAUGUUAAAUUAAAAGUUCUUUAUGAUAAAAUAUUCAUCUAUUUGUGUUGUUAAAAAUUGGUUUAGCUAACGAAAUAACUAGAUAAUGAUACGUGACGUGUCAUGUAUACCUCAUGAUAAUGUAUAGGGACAAGUUUUUUACAGUAAAUAUAGAUAGAAUUUUUAAUGAAAAAAUUAAUUUACUCUUUAAUUUAAUAUACAUGUGAGUCUAUGACUCGAUAUUAUUGCAAUAAUAAAAAAGAUAUGAAUUCUAUGCUUAUUUUCUUAUUGGGGAUUUAUGGAUAAUUUAUUAAUUGCAUAAAAGGUAUAUAUGUUCACGUUUCUAAAUGGUACAUGCAGGGGUACGCAAAGACACUAACAAAACUAGGGUUUAGACAUUCACAAAAUUCGAAAUCAAAUUGGAUUCAAUCUUUAAAUGUGAGAUAAAGUGUUUUUUGUCAUCCAAAAAUUCGAAAUUGAAAUUUUGCUUAAAAAGACAUCAGAAUCUUUUAUCUCUCAAUCCUGUUAUGAAAUAUUUAUGUGGAUGUCAUUAUCAACCCCAUAAGUUAUAAAACCCUUCCUAUACCCCAUAAGUUAUGAGACUUUUCCUGUACCCCAUUAAUAUGGGAGAUAAAAGGUCAUGACCCUUUACAUGUCCUAUAAUAAUUAGAGAGUUACUUUUAACCCCUUUAUAUAUGGGGCUCAUGUACUCAUGAAAAAUAUAUAUAAAAAAGAAGAUACAUUUUCUCUUCUACAUUCUCUUUACGCUCUUUCUUCUAUUACAUUUUAGUUUAUUCUUUCUUUAUUAUUUCACAACAUGUUAUCAGCACGAGUCUCUAAUACAAGAAAUCAAGGCCAACAAAUUUUUCCUUAAAGAUUGCUGAAGGACGCUUAGGUGAAGUAAGGAUAACAAGUUGAUCUAUUUCAUUUGCAUAUGUGUUAUUUCAUUUGCAUAUUAACAUGCUUUAUUUUACAUUAUUGACUUGUAUAUUUUAUCUUAUAGUUUUAUAAUGUCAAAUCUUACAAAACUUGAAUUUGUGGCUCUGGACAUCACUGGAAAUAACUAUUUAUCAUGGGUACUAGAUGCUGAAAUUCACUUAGAUGCAAAGGGUCUUGGUGAGGCUAUUAAGGAGGGAAAUGAAGAAAGUACACAAGAUAAGGCCAAGGCCAUGAUUUUCAUUCGCCAUCACCUCCAUGAAGGUCUUAAGGCCGAAUAUUUGACUGUUAAGGGCCUUCAAAUUCUUUGGGCCAAUCUAAAGGAAAGAUAUGACCACCAGAAAACUGUGAUUUUGCCUAAAGCUCGUUAUGAGUGGCUGGAUUUAAGAUUAUUGCAAGACUUUAUAACUCGGCCAUGUUCAGAAUCACUUCACAAUUGAAUUUAUGUGGAGAGAAGAUUACUGAUGCAGAAAUGUUAGAAAAAACAUACUCAACUUUCCAUGCAAAUAAUGUUGUCCUGCAGACACAAUAUCGUGAAAAAGGCUUCCAGAAAUAUUCUGAAUUAAUUUCUUGUCUCCUAGUGACGGAGCAAAACAACGAGCUGCUAAUGAAAAACCAUGAAUUACGCCCAACUGGCUCUGUUCCAUUCCCUGAAGCGAAUGUGAGUUUACACAAUGGGCAAGAAUUAAAAGAAACACACCAUGCAAAUAGUAGUGUGCGUGGCCGCGGACAUAGAUAUGGAUAUGGUCGAGGUGGUCGUUUUAAAAAUUCACAUUCCUACCAGAAGUGGGAUCGGAA